rnacentral:lncRNA from 1 species
UUUUUUUUUUUCUUUUUUUUUCUCCCCCAUUAGACAUGCUCACAUGGCCGCCGCAAGCAGCAGCUGCUUUCACAAAAUUACUUCAAUUUCAAAUUCAUUCAUUGCAAUUUCUUUCUUCAAAAUACGGUUGUGAAUUUUGCCUUAGAUAUGUUUGCUUGUGGGGAAAAUUUUGUGAACUAUUUUUAACCGUUGCACAAGAGUUAGGCUUGCUGCCUUGUUGGCAAAUUCUGCAGUGUUUUUUGCUCUUUAGUCUAUUCAUCACCUUCAAUCAUCUACCAAUAUCUUUCAUGGAAACUUUUGAACAAGUGAAAUAUCGCAGUCAUGUAUGCCAAUAAUGAGAGGAAAAGAGGCCAUAAAAGGUGCUUGAAGAUUGAAGCCUUUGAAUAUGGACUCCUGUUAGAUGUGACCUGUUAAUGAACAAAAACCAAAACAGGCAAUGGAAUGUUUUAUUUAAUUUUGUGGCCUAACGUUGAUACGGGGCUACCACUAUCUUGCAGAGGCUCGAAUGUUACAAGUGCAAUGAGGAUUUUGCUAUGUCACAAAAAGGUUGAAAAUAUUUUUGUGACAUAUGAGAUAAAUUUUUUGAGUUUUGGUCACUAAUUAACUUGAGCGUCGAAAGCUCUUUGAUACAAUUUUUUUUUUCAACCUUGAAGUUCGAAUAUUCUGUGCCACGUUACGUGGGGAUGAAUUAGUCAAAAAUAUAAACUCAAUCAUAGUCCCAAUUAUAGCAAUCUGAAGAUAAGAUGAGUGUGUGAUGCAAAGACUUGUUUGAGAUAAGAUUUUUGUUAGGCAGAAAGCAUAUAGGUAAUGCUUUAUGAGACCAGAAAUGCCUUGUUAACCCAUUUUGAGAAUUUACGUAGACAUGAAGAAUUGAAGAUUAUUGUCAACUUGGAAUGUCUUAUCUUACUUGUAAUUAUGGGACUUCCUUUCCAUUUGCGAUUGCAAAAAGAAAGAAAAUUGGAUCUUUUGUCUUUUUAUUCUACAGGUGAUAAAUCAAGCUUUCCCCCUUUACGUCAACCUUUUCGUGGCUAUCUUGUAGCCUGGAACCAAAUUUUAUUCGUCCGGAAAAUAAAAUUACCAUACAGGGCACAAAGGUAUGCAAGGAAAAUCCAGGAUACAAACAAAAUAUAUUAACCAAGAAAAUACAAGUUGGUGAUUAGUUGUUGCAAUGUUAGCCAUCAAAUAGUUUAUCCCAAAAAGGGUAUCCCAAAAUAUAAAUUUGUAUGAUUUUCACUUUAUGUCUCCGACCCUUCAUUUAACAAAUACUUCGACCUCCCAUGGCCAGCUAAAGAGAAUUGCUCGAAACCACUCAGUCAAACCCUUAUUUUGUGUAUUCAUAUUUCUCCAUCUAUAUAAAUUAAAGUUUUGGUCGAGGCAAUAGGAAAGAUAAAAACCAACAUCCUUAUUCAUCAAGACAUCAUAUAACUCUUGUAUCAGUUAAUAGUAUACAGUCACAAAUUCAACUUGGGCAUCAAAUUUGCCUUUGAUAUUCUCACAACCCACAAAAGAACUGAUGUCUAAUUAUGCUUUCUUUAAGUAUAUCUAGAUUCCUAAUAAUUUUACUAGUUACAGCAAAAAAAGUUGCAGAUCGAAUUUACAGAAUGAAGAAGCAUAUUUGACUAGCUAUAAAUGGAUUGUGAAAAAUAGAUACUCGCACAGCAGCAACAAAAUUAUUGAAUGCUCGGUAUUCCAAUUCAUGCCACAAAAAACAUAAAGACCGUCAGAAAAAAUAUUAUGACGGCAAAAAUCUUGAUCAUAAGCCAUCGAUUUGAUGAAAUUUGGUUUAGAUGCCUCAACAGAGCAUUACGAGCACCUUCAACAUUAGCCAAUGACUCGUCCAUGUUAUCAUCAAUCCUGCUCACAUUAGUUGGAUGGGUAAAUUCUUUUGACAUCCAAAGCCAAAUGUACAAACAUCAAAUAUGUUAGUAAGGUGAACAGACCUGAUAGCUAGUUCGCCUUGCUGUGCUACCAUUGUGGCCAGAUGUGUGAAGAUCCCACCGAGUUCUGUAAUUGUAGAUUCAACAUUAUGAAGAGCCACUGCCCUACUUUGUGAGUAAUUCUCUUGCCGUGGAACUACCUGCUGUAACAUCGACAUUUCCAUGUGGUGUGAAGGAGCAUUGUCCACAGCUGGCCUUCGUCUGUUUAGGCAAGAUCCAAUCCAACACAUCAAACGUCAACAUAUGGCAAGCCAAAAUAAUAAUAAUAAUAAUAAUAACUUUCAGCGUGCCAAGUCCAAAUAAAUAAAUAAAGAAACCUGCGAGACUAGCAAAUAAUCAAAGCAAUAGGACAUCUCAUUGGCGAGAUACACGCAAACAUUUACUGGUUUCUGAUAUCAUUCACUGAAAAUAUAGAUUGUUGCAUAUUCGGCGUUUAUUACUCACUCAUUUAAAAAUGAUAUAAGAAAAGUGGAAGGAGGAAAGGGUGAUGGACCUUUUAGCUUCAGCUUUAUUGGAUUUUGUUCUUGUUGACUUCCUAUAUCCUCAUCCUUGCCCAUACACAAAAUACCCAACCAAAAAUUAAAGGCCCUCUUUUUUCAUGUAUUUCUUUCAUUCUAAUAAGUCUGUAUCAAAUUUAGAGAACUAGAAUAUUUACAAAACCAUAAACUGGAAUGACAAAUAAAACGAUGUUAGAUAUAUGUCCAUUCUGAAUAAGUUUAGUGGCUUAAGAGUAAUUUACAUGUACAUGUAGAAGAUAAAGGUGCGUUUGGUAUUGCUUUUCAAAUGAGGUUUCUGAAAUCGUUUUAUAGAUAAAAAUGAUUCGAUUUCUUUAAAUUCAAAAAGAUGUUUAGUCAUUCCUUAAAAUGUUCUUCUGAGGAAACAACAGGUCAAAGUUUCAACUCUAAAGGAUACAUGUAAUUUGGGAUCUAAAAAUGAAAAUAGUAAAAAGAUAUUUGGUAGAUUGUCUGAAAAUAAUAAUAUAAUAUUAUUAAAAAAAUACAAAAAGUAAAAAAUUUAAUCAGAAUUGUAUUGUUUAUGUGCAAAGUAAUGGAUAACAAUUUUUUAUUCUUCAUGGGAAACCAUACGAUUUUACUUUACUUCAAAUCUUCAAUUGCACAAAUAAAAAUCAUUAAAUUUAGUUUUUUUAGGCGUGGGUCCAACCUGAGUUUUAAUGGUCAAGAUAGUAAAAUAGUUGUUUUUAACUUUCAUUCCAUUAUUUCUUCAACUUGUUUUCUAGAGAUGUUGAAGGAAGGAUGAAAAUUGCAAAAUGGUUAUAUUACAUUUUCAACCCAUUAAAUUUUGACUAGGCUCACACCUAAAACAAAAUGAUAAAAAUUAAUAUUUUUUAUUUGUUUCUUUAUGGUGUAGUCAGAUCUCAUGAGUGGCAAGUAAAAUAAAAAAAAAUUGUUACUCCACCCUAUUGCAAAUAAAAUAUAUACUAUUCUAAUUUUUUACUUUUUCAAUAAUAAUAUUGUUUUAAGACAAACUACCAAACAUAUUUUACUAUUUUUCUUUUAGAUAUUAAUUUUUUUUAAAAAUACCAAAUGUAUUUUCAAUUAUAAAUACAUCACGACAAAAACUAAAUUUUCCUUCUGUAAAACAAAUAUAAAAAUCACCUUUCAGAAAAUAAUACCAAACACACCCUAAACCUUUAUGGGCGCAAGUAUAACCCAAAUAGUAAUUCUCCAAGCAUUGGUGCACAACAAGGCCACAUAAUACAAUUGCUAAAUUAAAACCAAAAGUUGUCAACAUGUACAAAAUUAAUAGAAAAAACAUAAACCUAAAACAUACCUCAGUUGGUUUCCAACUUGGACUCCACCUGGCGGCAAUCUGGUCAAAAAGAAAAAAGGAGAUAUGAAUCAAAUAGUGACUAAUGAAAAACUAUGAAUCUAUAAAUAAAUGAAGGGAAACAUGCACAUGGCUAGAUCUUAAUAUCAAUAUAAAUUGUUACUCCACCCUAUUGCAAAUAAAAUAUAUACUAUUCUAAUUUUUUACUUUUUCAAUAAUAAUAUUGUUUUAAGACAAACUACCAAACAUAUUUUACUAUUUUUCUUUUAGAUAUUAAUUUUUUUUAAAAAUACCAAAUGUAUUUUCAAUUAUAAAUACAUCACGACAAAAACUAAAUUUUCCUUCUGUAAAACAAAUAUAAAAAUCACCUUUCAGAAAACAAUACCAAACACACCCUAAACCUUUAUGGGCGCAAGUAUAACCCAAAUAGUAAUUCUCCAAGCAUUGGUGCACAACAAGGCCACAUAAUACAAUUGCUUAAUUAAAACCAAAAGUUGUCAACAUGUACAAAAUUAAUAGAAAAAACAUAAACCUAAAACAUACCUCAGUUGGUUUCCAACUUGGACUCCACCUGGCGGCAAUCUGGUCAAAAAGAAAAAAGGAGAUAUGAAUCAAAUAGUGACUAAUGAAAAACUAUGAAUCUAUAAAUAAAUGAAGGGAAACAUGCACAUGGCUAGAUCUUAAUAUCAAUAUAAAUGAGUUACGAAUCACAGGAAAAAUAACAGGCUUUCAAGAAACUCUACAUAUAGAGAGUUUACAGAUAGCACAAACGAACUUCAAAGUUGCUUCCAUUCUGUUUCCUUCUCACCUGGACAUAGGGCCAUCUGGCCAUUUGUUUAACUCAAAAUUAGCCCUUUCCAUUUGUCUAUACUCUAUGGUAUAUAUUUAAGGCACAGACAACUGUCAUUAUAAUGAAACUGCAUUGUUACAAGAGGUAUUUCAGAGUCUUCCCAUGUUAUUAACCUUUUUGUAAACCUUGCCAUGGAUCAUCACAUGCAAGUAAAUGAAAAUUUUCUAAAAGAAAAGAAAACUCAAGCUCCUAGCACUUUCUUCAUCGAAAAUUGAAAUUGAGACAAGGUUAUAUGCCGAUAAUAUACAAGAGUAAUUAAUUCACAUAACAGCUAAUGGGCAUCAUAAGAAUAACUAGAUGCAUAUUAUAGCCACUCAGCGUUAUAUAAAUAACUAGUUCAUCAUACAGAAGAGCUACCAAUAGAAUUCAGAUAGUCUGCCGAAAGGAAACUCACGCUGAUGGUUGUGAACUCUCAGAUGCAUUUACUGGACUUGACCAAGGUGGGGGCUCAGUAACAGGUUGUGCAUGCUGUCUAAAUGGGCUAUCUCUCAAUGCAUUUGCAGAAAAAAUUUGUUUCCUGUUUUCAUGAGCUUUUAUAUUCUAUACAGAAAAUAAACAAUACAAACAUUAAAAUAAGAGAAACAGUGGCAAACAAAUGAACCAAAAAAGCUAUAUUCAGGGGAAUAAAAACCUCAGUUCUUGUGGUUAAAACAUCUUGAAGUUCUUUAGUAGCACCCAUGAGCUUGCUCUUCAAGUCAUCACAGACAGUAGUCGAAUGCACAACUCUGUCCUGAGAAUAAUUUCCCUCCGCAAUCUCCAAGUUUUGAAGGGUUUGCAAAUCCGAAAGAGCCAUGUUGAGAGCUGUAAUGUCGUCCUUUAUCAAAGCAGUCAACUCCUGUAUCUCCACAAUUGGAUCAUCAAACAUCGAUGACCUUUUUGCCACUACAUUAAAUCAAAACCUAAGGUCAACAUAGCAUCACUAAAAAGAAAUUACAUUUCCAGUGUUUGAUCGAAACUUAAAAAAAAAAAGAAGCAAAGUUUGAGAUCAAAGAAGCUUCUUUUAAAUUAAAAUUUUGAUACAUGCUCCCUAGAAGAAACUUUUUUUAACCAUUCGGGUCACUUACAAGCAUUUAAUAAUCCAUUGUGUCCUUGCCAUUAGAAUGUUAACAAACAGCACACUAUUAAAGAGUGAACGCGACCUUUUAUUUUCUUUAUGCCGAAUAAUCUUGUAUUCAUUCUACCAAUCAAUAUUUAUAAUACAAUUAAGUAACAACUAAACAAGAAGCCAAUUCAUUAGCAUGAGCACAAGAUGCUUCAGCUGGUUGAUUCAACGGGUGCUUUCUCAAAAUGAGCUUCUCUAAUUUACUCCUAGUUCGAUAAAUCAAUUUCCUUCUCAGAUACCAAGCAUUGCCUAAAUCUAUGCAUUAAUAUUCAAAAUAAAAAAAUUAAACUUUUUAAAAAUUUAAAAAUUCCAUUGUGAAAAAUAAAAUAACUAAUUAAAAAAAAAAGAGAGAGAGAAAGGGCUUACAUUUGGCAAGUCUAGCGAUUUUUUGGGAGGCUUCAUGGAUGCCCAACCCGAUUCGAGAAGCCUUCUUGUUGAAUUCGGAUCUAGAAGAGGCUGGAUUCGGAGGUUUCGGUGAAACGAAGGAGUUGUUUGGUUGAUCUACGGCUGUCGUGGCGCCUCCGAUCUUCUUCAGAGUUUGGGACAGAGAUCGGAACUCAGCCGUCCGAUCUCUGUACGGUGACGCCAUUAGGCAAAUGGUGUCUGAUCGGACGGUGCACAAUGGGAAUGAAUUUGUUUUGCGAGAAAUAUACCGUUGCUUGGCGGGGACCGGUCCUUUGGAUCUCAAACGAACAACUUUAUGCAACCCGCUUUAUUUCCAUUUUACUGUAUUUAUUAAAUUUUUUUUUUUAAAGUUAAAAAAUGCGAUCAAUUUCCAACUUGUUACAGUGCUAUAAUGUUUAAAUGUUCCACUCUCUUCAUUUUCCUUUUUUUUUUUUAAAGAUUAAUAAAGACACUUUUUGGUGGCACAUUAUUUUCAAGAACAUAGCUUUAUAAAUUGUAGUAAGUUGUUAACUUGUUUAAUAAAAGAAAAAAAAAUUGAGAAUCACUAUUCAGUAGUUUUCACGUCUUUUUUUAAAGUUUGAGCGUAGGGCUUCAAUAUUUAUUAAUACUAAAAUACAAAUAAAUUUGGAUUUUAAUGAAGUAACUUUCUCUCUAAAUCGAUUUAUGAUUAUGCUUCUUAUUAUUGUGUUGAUUAAGACUGGUCCUAACAUUUUAGUAGAAUUAAAAAAAAAUUGUUUGAAAAAUUAUUGCUCAUUGUUUAAGAAGAAAUUACCAUCAUAUUUUAACCUAGAUCAAAGUCAAGCCAAACAAAUAUUAACAUGAAUCAAUGCGGCAGGUACAUAUGAUCUAAGGUGUGACUAUUUACUUUUUAUCUACAAGAAACUCUUGGGGUAUGAGGGUCUUAAUAUGACUAUCAAAUAGAAUUAUUGCACAUAUUUAAUUUUUUUUCCCUUUAUCAUAAUAAUGAUCAUAAAUAGGCAAGUGCUAAGUUACAUUCAAUGUAACUUACACAAUUCAUCUCAACCACAUAAAAUUAUGGGACUCGCAAUUCAUGUGGUUGAGAUGAGUUGUGUAUGUUACAUUAAAUGUAACUUAGAGACUCCCAAAUAGGCAAGUUUUAAUUGAUCGAUUUUGAAAUAAUGUAUAGCUACUAAUAACAAUUUAUUAAAUAGAGGUACCAUGCCCAUCCCAUCUAAGAUUUUUCCUUACCCAUAUACAUACUUAACGAGAAUUAAAAAAAAAAAAUCAUAGUCAUUGCUUAUUGACAUAAGCUACUAAUUUUUAAAUUUAUGCAACCAAAAAUAAGUUAAGCUCAAACACGCUGUUUCUAAAGAAAUGGGCUUAGAUUUGAUAUUGAUGACUUGCCUAGUGAAGCCCAAGAUCGGCCCAUAUUGAUCCCCAAACGUAGAAAAACAAAAAACAAUCCCAGCCGUCCGAUCUAGGGUCACAAUAAAAUCCUCAGUGUCUCCGCAGCUCAUCGAUUAUAAAAGCGACGCCAAUUUCAUUUUUCCUUCUUAUUAGCCUCGCAGAUAAUUCUAGGGUUUUUUCUUGUACACUUCUUUCACUCUCUUUGUAUCUCGUUGAGGUUAAAGAGACGGCAAUUCCGCUGCUGUCCGCCUUGGCAAGCCGCUGCUUCGUCUUGGCCCUCGAUUUUGUAUAAAUUUACAACUUUUUACCACCAACAAAAGUAGAACCAAAUCCACGAAAUGGUAGUGAAAGCAUCGAAGGCCGAGAAGAAGAUCGCGUACGACGCGAAGCUAUGCCAGUUGCUGGAAGAGUACACCCAAAUAUUGGUGGCGGCCGCCGACAACGUGGGGUCCAAUCAACUCCAGAACAUUCGUAGGGGUCUGCGUGGAGACUCCGUUGUGCUCAUGGGAAAGAACACUAUGAUGAAGAGGACUAUCAGAAUGCACGCUGAGAAGACCGGUAACACUGCCUUUCUCAAUCUCAUCCCCCUCCUUCAGGUAUAUUUAAAGUUUUUAUUUUUUUAUUAUUUUUUUUUCAAUUUUGUGAUUCGAUUGUUUUUUAGUUUUUUCGUUUUAACUGAUGGGGGUGUUGUUCUUUUAUUGUUUGAAAUUAGGGCAAUGUUGGGUUGAUUUUCACAAAGGGUGAUUUGAAGGAAGUGAAAGAGGAGGUUGCUAAGUACAAGGUGAGUUUCUGAUUCUAUUGUUUUAUUAAACUAAAUUUGAUUGCUUAUUUAAUAAGAAACUGAUUGAUUUCCUUUUUUCUUGGCUGUUUGUGUUAUUGGUAACUAGUGCAACGUUUUUCACAAUGUUAUAUUAAUUUUUCGUUCAUUCGAUUGCUAUUGGUAGUAGAUUAAGUAUAGAUUAUUUUUAUUUUUUGCAAAUAAGCAUUGAAGACCGUGUGUAUUUUUGUUGUGGAACAAUUUCAUAUUGUUUCAUCUGAUUAUACAGUUUUUGUAAUUUGAUGCCUAGGUGAUUUGUGUGGUAAUUGAUGCUUAGGUGUAGAUGGUAACUAGAUAUAAAUCUGUUUUUGUGGUCAAAGUUAGAUGUGACUUUGUUAGAUUCUCCCUGCAAUGACACAGGUGUUUUUUUAUUGUUUGCUUGAGUAGUUUGGUUGUAUUUGGCACUUUCUAUUGCAAUUUGCUUUCUGAUUAGUAUUCUUUUUUACCCCCAUUAAUGUUAUAUGAUAUUUUGUGAACAGGUUGGAGCUCCUGCUCGUGUUGGUUUGGUUGCUCCAAUUGAUGUGGUUGUUCCUCCCGGCAACACAGGUCUCGACCCCUCCCAGACCUCCUUCUUCCAGGUAUAUGGUUUGUUGUUUGAUUAAACAGCAGUGGAGUUAAGUGUUAACGUUGUGAGUUUGGGGUUUUGCUUGUAUCUUACCAUUCCAAUUCUUUAUAGGUGCUUAACAUUCCCACCAAGAUUAACAAGGGUACUGUUGAAAUUAUCACACCUGUGGAGCUUAUUAGGAAGGGUGACAAGGUGGGAUCUUCUGAGGCAGCCCUGCUUGCAAAGCUUGGGAUUAGACCCUUCUCUUAUGGUCUUGUUGUCCAGUCUGUCUAUGAAAACGGUUCCGUCUACAGCCCAGAGGUCCUUGACCUGUCUGAAGAUGACCUAGUGGAGAAGUUCGCCUCAAGUGUAUCAAUGGUCACCGCUCUGGCACUUGCCAUCUCAUACCCGACCCUGGCAGCUGCUCCACACAUGUUCGUCAAUGCAUACAAGAAUGUGGUUGCUGUUGCUCUUGCAACUGAGUAUUCAUUCCCUCAGGCCGACAAAGUGAAGGAGUACCUGGCGGUUUGUAUUUCAUGCACUUUCCCUUCCGAUUGCAUUGUUCUAUAUAUCUUCACAAAAUCUAUAAUUAUUUAUCAUCGUAUGAAUGCAGGACCCAAGCAAGUUUGCUGUUGCUGCUGCCCCGGUUGCUGGCGGUGGUGAUGCCCCAGCUGCUGCUGCAAAGGAGGAAGAGAAGAAGGAAGAGCCUGCUGAGGAGUCUGAUGAAGAUAUGGGCUUCAGCUUGUUCGACUAAGUGCACUGUCAUUUGUGCUAUAACUUAGGAUUUUGACGUUUAUGGUUAUGUUUGCUUUAUUUUCUUAAUGCUUUUUGUAGACUCAGUUUCCUUUUUAUUUUAUAUAAUCCUUUAUUUAGGACAAUAUAUAUUCUGUCCCAUACAAGUUUUACAUGUUUAAGCAAUUAUUUGUUAUUUUAUCAGGAAAGUUUCUUCAAAUAUUUCUGAUUAUUGUAUGGGCUAUCAUUAACUAAAAAUCUGCCCAAAAUAUUGUGGAAUAAUCACCUCAAACCAUUCGUUACGAUGUACUUCACCUUGAAUUUCUCUGUUUAAUUGAUUUUAAUGCAUUGCAACCCUGCACCUUUUUGAGCGUAGAGGUUAGAUUACGUUAAAAAUUUGACAUUUGUUAAUGCAUAUGCGCUAAAGAAGCCAGCGCAGGUGUAUCGUUAAGCGAUCAUCUUUCGGAAGCAUUCAUUCAUUCAUUGCCAGAUGUGAAACUCGGAAAACUUUUCGGACUCAGCUAAGUUCAGGAAAUGGCUCCGAGAUAACUAAUUAAUUUAUCAGACUGGCAGCAGUGAGAAAGCCACUCACAUAAUUUCGCAUUCCAAAUCCCAAUAAUUUCUGAGUGAGCGAGUUUGCUGUUAAUCUUCUUGUUUGAUAUGAAACCUAACAGCAACACCAUCAGUUCAUUUCAACGAAUCUAGUAAAUAGUAAUGAUAUAUUAAGAAAAAUAAAAAUAAACAAUAAUAAUCAGAAAAUAUAUAUAAAGGGAAAGCUGUAGAUUAAUGAAAGAGAUAGUCUUGGCUGAGAUUCUCACCAUUUUAGCUCUCGCAGACGACAGUUUCCCGUGAUUCUACCAAAGUAAAAGCAAAAGGAUUAAAAGUGAAAAUCAAAGUGGUCCUGUUGAUACAGAGCUAUAGGGUUGAAAAUUGUAAAAAGUCAAGUCGAUAACUGAUAUCCUCAGUUGCAGAAACGAGCCAUCUCCUACUUGCAGCACAAAUAUUUUCAGCUUGUGAUAAGCCAAAAUAAUUGAAAAGCCGUUGCUUUAUUCUGCCUUAACAAUCGAAUAUCAAUAGCCUGAUUAACGGAUAUCCUUUUACUUUUCUCCUGUGUAAUCAGAAUAAUUGAUGAGCCAAAAAACAAUUCUUAUGUGAUAUAAAAAUGCUACCUAUAUUAGUGUAAAACAAGAUGAAAAUAAUGUGGCGCGCAUAUGAAACUAUAUUAGAAAACUUAACCAAAACGACAAUAUUCAAUAUAUAUUGAUUCAAUCAAACCCAAGACUGCAUUUGAGGGAAUUCAGUUAGAAAGCACCGCCAAAUUCCAAGUCUAAAUAUCAGUUUAGAACCCUAAAACUCAGGAAAGCAGUUCAUUUCUACUUAACAGUAUUUCUUUUCCCGGAGAAAAGAAAAAAAAAUCAAAAUCAAAUGGCGACGAGGCUAUCAAAGGCUGAGAAGAAGAUUGCUUACGAUGCAAGGUUGUGCAAGUUGCUUGAGGAGUACAGCCAGAUUCUGAUCGUGGCCGCCGAUAAUGUGGGAUCCAAUCAGCUCCAGCACAUAAGGGCAGGUCUCCGAGACCAUUCGAUCGUUCUGAUGGGAAAAAAUACCAUGAUGAAACGAUCCAUCAGAUUGCAUGCUGAAAGAACUGGUAACCGGGACCUUCUCAAUCUCAUUCCCCUUCUUCAGGUAAUGUGAUUAUUCAUAUGAUCAGUUUAUUCAAUAAUUGUUCUUUUUUACUUUCUGAUUUUCGUGGCUUUUUUUUACCCCUCUUUUUCAUAUUUUGGUUGAAUCAGGGCAAUGUGGGUAUGAUUUUCACCAAAGGUGAUUUGAAGGAAGUGAGCGACGAGGUAAGCAAACACAAGGUGGCAGCUCCUGCUCGCGUAGGCUUAGUUGCUCCGAUUGAUGUCGUUGUUCCUCCCGGCAACACCGGGCUCGAUCCCUCACAGACCUCUUUCUUUCAGGUUAAUUUAUUUAUUGCUUGACAUCAGGAUUAUUUUCUAAUUUGAUUUUUUUAACGUUCAUUUUUUUAGUAUACAGUAACUACCUCCAAUUCUUAUAUUUAUUUUAUUAAGAGAAGUUCAUAUUAGGAGAGAAUCCUGACUUAUUCUCAGGAUCCUUGACACAACACCUUAAAACAUCCAAUGGUUCACGAAUUUUGUACAGGUGCUCAACAUUCCCACAAAGAUUAACAAAGGAACCGUGGAAAUUAUCACACCAGUGGAGCUUAUUAAGAAAGGUGAUAGGGUUGGAAGUUCUGAGUCUGCUUUGCUUUCGAAGCUGGCGAUUAAGCCAUUCUCUUAUGGUCUCAUUGUUAUGUCUGUCUAUGAGAAUGGCUCUGUCUAUAGUCCAGAAGUGCUUGACUUGACUGAAGAUGACAUCGCAACGAAGUUCCUUGAAGCUGUCUCAAGGGUCGCGUCUUUGGCUCUCUCCAUUCGGUACCCAACAAUUGCGGCUGCCCCACACUUCUUCAUCAACGGCUACAAGAAUGUUCUUUCUUUUGCAGUAGCCACCGAGUACUCCUUCUCUCAAGCAGACAAAGUGAAGGAAUACCUCAAGGUUUGUAUUCUGGGACUGUUUGAUUCGUGUCUGUCCAAUAAAAAUCUUAUCACGUACACAUUCAUUUUGAAUCAAGUACUGAGACAGAAGCCAGAAAUGAAAAUAUGUGAGGCCUAAAGUCAUAAGAGCAAAUUUUAGGACUAAUAGCCUGUUUGGAAGUGUGGUGAUAACACUUGUAGUUGGGUUUUGACAGCUUAGUAAAUUUUUUUUCUCAACUUCUAUUCUACAGUUGUAGCUUUUACUCUACAGCAGCUGCAGCUUAAAAGCUACAGCACCUCACUGCCAAACACACUCUAACGAUUUUAAAUAGUAUAAAUAUUUAGGAUAAAAACUGUGUGUAUAACACGAUUAAAAUUAUAAAUAAAUGCAUAAUCAUAUGAGAAGCGAUCAAGUGAGCAUCACACCACGUGGUAGUUUCUCAUUAGAUGAGGACUCACGUCCCAUCCAAAAUGAGACUGUCACGUGGCAUGUCGAAGUGAGCGACAACACUCACCUGAUCAAGCCCUAGUAACAUAUAUUAAAUUAAAUUUUGGUAACUACUUAUAUAUAGCUCGGCCUAUGAAAUUAAGUCAUUAACGAAGCAUGAUAUUGACGAGAAAUUUUGAAAAACAUGAUAUGAUUUUAUUGAAUUAUUUUAUUGAGACUAUCCUAUCUAAGACUUUCUUUUAUAAAUACAGGAUCCUAGCAAGUUUGCAGCUGCGGCGGCCCCAGCUGCAGCUGCUGGAGCUGCCCCUGUUGCAGCCGCCAAGGAAGAAAAGAAAGAAGAGCCUGCAGAAGAGUCUGAUGAUGACAUGGGUCUCAGUUUGUUCGACUAAUGUGUUUGCAUGCAGUUUCUUAAUUUGCCGUGCUCUAAUUUCUUGAUCACUCGGAUCUUUUUACCUUUUUAAUUUUUCUUCAAGAAGACGAUUAAUUUUUUUCCCAAUGAGUUAAAUAAAUCUUGUAUAUGUAUAUAUCCUUUAAGGCUGCAUUGAAUAAAUCUAACUACUGUCAAAAUCAAUUCUGCUUUUGCUUUAACAUUCAAGUACCUUGAAUUGGGGGUUUUCAAGUGCUGAAGAUCAGCAAACAACGAAGCCAGCUAAACCGAAGACGUUCAACAUAAUAUAUAUGGCACAUGUCGUCUAAUACAAAUGUGGAGAUGAUAAUAGAGGAUCACCUCACUCACUUUUCGGCGAAAUGGGACGACGACAAAACCCCAAAGGAUUCACGAAGAUGAUCUUGUUGACGACUCAAGUCAAUUAUUUUGCUUCUCCUACGGAUGCUAUUGAUUAAGGGUAUGUUUAAAUUUGGUGCAAUGAUAAUUCACAAGUGAUGUUUUGAGAUAACUAACUAAUCACACGUUGUUAAGUAAAAUUCAUUCUCAAUUUAUAGUCAAGAUUCAUUCCUUUGCAAUGUUGCAUUUUAUUAGUAAACCAAUUAAUUUGUAUUUUUUAAUAUAAGAGCACAAGUUAAUGGUGGAAUCUAAUAUCAAACCGUCGAGUACAAUGGUCUUGAAGGCUAAAAAUACCCUAAGAUAUACAGAUUCAAGUUCUUCCCAUAAUCCAAUAUAUGAUAUUUUAACCUAACAAAGUGGGAUUGUUUUCUUAAAUUUUUCUUAUGCUAUGACUAGUUGUUGAUAAGAGGAUGAGUUCCUGAUGGUGAGAGAAUAAUUGGACAGAAGCCGGAAUGAUGCGGGAAAAAAUUAGCGGUGGCAGAUAAUAUUAAGGACAAAAAGCGCAUGGUUUUAAGAGGUUGUCAAAUUAAUUAAUAAAACGUGAUAACAUCACGGGAGGAUCUCAAUCUGAUAAAUACAAUCAAUAUCCAUGGUAGUUUAGUUUAUGUUAAUUUGCAACCCUUUACAAUCAAGUUAAUUAGUUAAAUCCAAAAUUCUACAAAAUUGAAAAUUACGACUCCAAGCUACUCCAGAGAUCUACUACAAGCAUAUUUUUAAAGUCUGUAAAAGAAAACCAUUUCAUAUGUUUUUGUGUUUGUGACUGAAUUCGGGAUUGGUGGAUUCAUUAUUAGCAAAUUAGGAAGAGAAAAAUUAAUGAUAAUAAAUGUUUAUAUCACAUUAGGUCCGCCUGAUCAUCUUGAGCCUAUGUGUGGAUUGAAAUUCUUACCUUCUUUUUACUUAUUUGUUUUCUAUAUAACGAUUACUUGAAUGCAAUAGUUGGGUGAGACUUGGACCGAUUCCAAACAUCCUGAUGGUAAUUCGGUGCGAUACUGUCAAUUUAGCCAUCAUUCUCCAUCACAUCAUUUAAGUCAAAGCAUACAGAGAACAAGAAUGAUGCAGAUGUAAACUGUACCAUCCCAUGAAUUCUUUCUCCUUAUCUACGGCAAAACAAUUAAUUACAUCAAUGGCACCAAUGUUUCAUCAUGUGGCACAUUAUUGUUAUCAUUGACUUUAUAACACACAUUGGUAUCGUGCAUGUUUUUUCUUUCUUUCUUUCUUUCUUUCUUUGUUUCAAAGAUCAAUGGACCUUUGGUUCAGUGAAAGAAUCCUUACACUUACAAUAUUGAGUGUAAGGGUUCGAGUUUCCAUAAAAGUAUUUAAGAGGGUUAUUUACAAUCCUCCCUCAAUUAUCAAAUAAUUGAGUUGAAUCAGUCUAUCCCUCACGAAAUGUGAGUGAAGUGGACAACCCUCGAAUAUUUGAGAGGGUUUGAAGAAUUUGGGCAGCGCUUCAGAGGAGUACAUGCCAUGAAGAAGGUCCCAAUUAUAGAAUCUGUUUGUAAAUAUUAAUUGUAAUAUCUACAGUUCUGUAUAACAAUAUUAAAAAAAAAAAAGACCAACUCACAGUUCCGAUUGCACGUGAACAUCAUCAGUUUAUCCUUCAAUGUAUACUCCCCUUUACCAUCACUUUUAAGAGCAUUUUUUUUUUCACGAUAGUCAUCAGCAACUCAAUGAUUUUUGUAUCCCUCCGUACUGUCCAGUUAUUUAUUACGCACUGAUCGAUUUUUGGAAUAACAUAAUUCUUCUCUUUUGUGAACAUCCUUAACAACAUGCGAAGGUAGACAGCACAACAAUCUUCUGUAUUUCAUGAUGCUUAUCUUUUUAUCAUUUAGACUAUAAAGUCGUAGAUAAAAACAUUUUAUUGUUGACUUAAAAAAAAAAGAAAACAAAUUGGGGUUUGGUUCAAAAUUACAGGAAUAAACUUUAAUUUAUUCUUUUAAUAGGGGAAAAAAUGUUCAAAUAUUGUAUAUGGUAUAUCCACAAUUUUAACUUUUUUUUUUAAUGAAUAGUUUGGCCUUCAUAACUUUAAAUUCUAACCACUUUAAUUUCAGAUUUACUCUUUCUUUUAUGGGACUUUUGCUUCUAGAAAUUUACCCAUAUUACUUUUGCUCCCUAGAUUUCCAAUUGGAGCUUCGUAAUUUCUAAGAUUAUAUCCGUUCAUUUGCUUUUCUUUUUUUAAUUAAAAAAAGAAAAGAAAGAAAAGCUUGAGGAUAAUGUAUAAACAAUAAAACAAAGUGGCUCCAUUUGAGAGGUUGAUUGCCGCUUGCUUGCUCAAUUCUUUUAUGACAAUUCGUCCCCACUUGAGAUUGAUUUUAAGUGCGUUCUAGAGUUUUGACUUGCAAUUAGGAGGCAAGUUGAGAUUCAUUUGAUGUGCUUUUCGGUAUUUAGGCUUGCAAUAAGGAGGCAAAUCGCUGUAUCAUUCAUUCUCAUGUAAUGCUUAUCCAUUCCGAGGUUGCAUCAUUUUAUCUUUUAAUGGGUUUUCUCCGCUAAUCGUAUGUGCAUUUAUUAUGGCUGUAAUUAGCGACAACGACUUCUUCAUUGUAAUUAAUGGCCAUCAACGGGGACCAGAAAUGCCUUUUCCUUAUUAAUUUCUUUCUUAGACUUCUUCAACCUGGAAACAAUUUGAGUUAGCGUGUCGUGUGGUGUGUGUCAAAUUGAGACACAUAUUUUAUUAAUCGCGUCUAGAAUCUCUAAUUCAAGUUGUUAAUAAAUCAUGCCACUCAUUUAACAUAUUCUUUAUAUUUGAAUUUAAAAAAAAAAAAAAACACUUGUGUAACAUGUUUAUAAUAACAUAUUACAAACUCAAAAUUCUAAUUAAUCUUCUGUCAAAAUAUAACUAGAUAAUUCUAGAUUAUAUGGUUUAAAGAAUAGGGUAUAAUUAGAUUAAACAACGAUAUAAUACUAUAUCUUUAAUCAGAUAAUUAAUCUUAUCAUUAAUGGAUUGGAGCGUUAAAAAACUCUUAAUCUAAAUUUGACACGAUUAAUCAAUGGAUAACUUAAGUUUUGUCUUGAUUAAUAAUCGUGUCUUUUUAGGUCAACAUAAAUCUACUAAUGAGUGUCGUGUUCUUGUUAAAUUAAAGGGCAUGUUCAACUCAGCAUUGGUUGGUCACUAAUUUUUUUUUUCUCAUUAAUACGUCAUUAUGUGGCUCAAAUUUGUUGCGGAAUUAAUAGAGAAUAAAAUGAUUUUUGACUUGCAACAAGGAGGCAAAAAUGGUGACAUUACUUUAAUGGAAUGCUUAUCUGCCUUUUCAUUUCUUAGAAACAAGGGGAAACAAGGGGGCAUGCUGAUCACAAUAUCGCAUUAUUUUAACAAAGUUGGUUCCAAAAGGACAUUAGCAUAUAAUAUAAGGAAAAUUAUAAUAGCCUAACGAGACCGACACUGCCGUUCUUUCUUUAAAUUUCUUUUUGGUAGUGGGGCAGAUGAGAUGAUUUUGAAUCUAUCUAAUAAGGAUUAACACCGAUAAUUAAAGCUAAAAAGUGUCAUGACGCAAGGGCAAGAAUAGUAAGCGUAAUAUAUGCUUAGCUUCGGUUGUCAAUCUAAGUUAAAUAAUGUUUUCAAGGAAAUAAUAAGAAAAUUUGGCUUAAUUUCCUUAAUCUAAAAUAAGAAGAAAAAAUAAUAAUAAAUAAGCAUUCUCAAAUCAGAAUUUAAAAACUGAAGAUAAAAUUAAACAAGUUGGUUUCAAAUGAAGAGCUUCAUGCAACAUGAAUACCUUUAGUAGGGGUAUUCGCGGAUCGAAUUUUACGGAUUGGAUAUCAAUCCAUAUCCGAUCCAUAAUUUUACGGAUUGUAAAUUUUUAAUCCAAUCCAAUCCACGGAUUGGUAAAUUCAAUUCAAAUCCAAUCCAUAUGUCUGUGGAUCGGAUGUAGAUUUUAAAUUUAAAUUUUAGAAGACAUUUGAAAUUUAUCCAUAACAAUAUCUUUAUUUAAACAUAUUUUAAUAUUCCUCAUAAAAAAGAAGAACUCAUCCAUAUAUACGUGUAAGUUGGAUAUGAGAAUUAAAAUUUGAAUAUAAUACGCAUCUUAAAUCGUUUAAACUUAAAAAAAAAAAAAGAACUUUAUUAUGGGUAAAACUUUUUGCUUUAACAGACAAUUAUGCAUCAUGGUCCUCGCUAUCUAAUCCAAAAUUCUGAUUCUCUUCAUCCACAAAUGGAUAAAGGAAAAGAAAAAUUAAGUGCAUAUUACAAGGCAAGGAAAUGGGCCAUGCUUCACAUUUUUAUUUUUUUUUUGGUUGGCGCAUUAAUGCCCCCUUUUUUGUGCCCUAAAACAUGCUUCCUCGCAAGAACGAAUGAAUGAAUGAAUGAAUGAAUGAAUAAAUAGAAAGGAUUCUGCUUUGCUGGCUCACAGUUGACUAACUUCAAAGUAAAAAAAUUGAAAAAAAAAAGAAAAGAAUAAUAAUCUUGUUUCUGCUUUCACUGUUUUCUAAUAGACUAAUCUCUGUUCUCAUUUGUUCGGCGGCCCAUACCACCAUACCCGCGAAAUCAACGGCUGUUAUUCCACGCGACGCGUGUCCUGUUACUAGACGUGUAAGCCAAUCUCCAUCAUCAUCAACUACCAAUCCGAACUGUCCAGGCCACGUGGAGGCAACCCACGUGUUUGCUUGGCACCGCCUUAGCCUAUAGGAAACGUGAAGUGCCAACUCAUGCUCGACAGGUUGGGUGGGCAGAUAAACAGGAUGCGUUGCACGUGACAUGUGCGCCACGUGUCUGGUGUGCGGACGCGGUCACGUGCUUGGCAGCGUGAUUUAGUUGGAGGGCACUACGGUGAUUGGAGCAAUCGGCGGGGGACACGUGGACCAAUCAGGGCGGUGGGAGUCGUGACGUUGAGCGGUAAACACGGAGAUUGAGUUGAAAGGGAAAAAGAUCUUUCAAAGUCCAUUUAGCCGAAAUUUGCAAGUGGGAAUGAGACAAAGCCCACCAAGGAGAAAGAGACUUAUCCGAAACACAUCGGAACUAGUUUCCAUAUUUUGGAAUUUUUCUUUCUUCCUCAUUCUCACUAAGAUAAAGCAAUGAUUUUUAAUUUGGACAAAAAUAUUAUACAUAUGGGCGAUAUUUAAUUGGAGCAUGCAUUUUGGGAAACGGAUUAGAGCGAGAGAUUUGAUCAAUUUUUCUUUCCUUUUUUUUUUUUUAAAACAUUGCUGGUAAAACAUAAGUAUCAAAAUGUUUAUGUCGAAUUCAAUGUUUUUAAAGAUUAGUUCUUAAACAUAUUAUAAAUCAUUAAAGAUGCCGGAUUGGUUAAUACGACAAGUAUUUUUAGAGUUUACUUAUUAUCUUAAAAUUUAGUUUAGUUUAAUAAUAGAGAAAGCUGUCCCAAAAACAGGAUAAGGUACCUCCAGUUUGUGUCCAAGGGUUGCGAAUUUGCAGUCUGCGAACAUCAAAUUUGUUAUGUUAAAUAACCAACUGGCUUCUUAAAUUUUAAUUAAAAUUAAUAGGUAAAACCUUGGAGUCGUUCUGAAUCCGAUUUUUCCAAACUUGUUGGGUAAAACCUCAGACCGCCAGAUUGCAGCAUCACUGACACUGUUAAUGAAGCGUCAUUGGGCCGCAGUCGUUUUCAUCAAACAAAAUCUAGAAGUGAUUAAUAAAUAAAUAAAUAAAUAAAAUUGUGGUCUAAUGGUCUAUACUCGAUACUACAAGCCUAUCGCAAAUGUCGGCUGACACGCUUUGACCCAUAGCCACAUACAAAGGAUGUGUGUUGCCCUGAGGAAGCAUCCCAAGAGAAAACAAAAACCUUCACAAAGUGUUGCAGGAAACACUAGAUCUGCCGCAGCUCAUCCUAUUGCCAUCAUCUAAGUGACCCAGAUCAUAUACGUGGCAGCAUGCAAUUGGUAAUUACAAUAGGAGCGAAACACUGGAUCUUCAUCCAUGGUGGGCUUAAUUUAAAAAAAAAUAAAAAUUAACUACACGCGAAAGACCAAAGUCUCCGUUCCAACCCUGUGAUUCCAAACAAGGCCAAGUUUUAGACCGGGCACGCUCCUUCUUGUUAGGUGAAAGAAAUGGAUAAGCUUCAUGUGCCUGUGUCCUAAGUCCUAACCCAAUAAAAAUGCUUUUGAAAAACAAUUAAAAAAACAAUUUUUUUUAAAAUACAUUUCUACGCCACCACUACUUUCAAAAUUCCUCGUUCUUUAUUCCACACGCCUUUUCGGUAUUUAUUUCUAUAUCUAUUUUUUUUUUUUCUGAAAGAUACAUAUUUCUAUUUCUCCUUCUUAAUCUUAUCCCCAAACACGGCCCUAUGUUUAUUAUAUAUAUAUAUAUAUAUACACCCCUCUCCCUCUUUUCUCUGGUGUUAGAAGAGCAAACCAAAUCAAAGUUAACGUUAACGAAACCCAAAACGACUACGUUUAAUUAUUUCAUCUCUCCCUGAUACAAAAACAAUGGUUGAUCUAGAUUGUAAAACGAAAAUGCCUAGCAAGUCUCCAAAGCUUUCUAAUAAACUUCAGGUUUCGAUUCCGACGCCGUUCCGGGGAGCCACUAAAUCGCCUGUUGCUUGUUCAGAUGCGGCUUGUUCGGCUUACGAGCAGUAUCUCCGUCUUCCGGAGCUGAGGAAGCUAUGGAGCUCGAGGGACUUUCCCAACUGGGAAAACGAGGCCGUUUUGAAACCGGCUCUGCAAGCUUUGGAGAUCACCUUCCGGUUCGUUUCGAUCGUCCUCUCCGAUCCAAGGCCGUACGCCAACCGGCGCGAGUUCAAGCGGCGGCUGGAGUCGCUGGCUACCAGUCAGAUCCAGCUCAUCGCGUCUCUAUGCGAGGACGAUGACCGCUCCGGCACGGCUCCGAUCGUCGAUUUGACGACGGAGAACGGCUUCUUGGCUCGCAAUAGAAGCUCCGCUGAGGUGUGGAAGGUUCCAGGCGGGGAAUCGACGUUGGUUAACAGAACAAGUGAAUACAGCCUGCUGCCUCGUCUGGCCACGUGGCAGAAAUCCGAGGACGCGGCGGAUAAAAUUAUGUACAUCAUCGAGUGCGAGAUGAGAGGGUGCCGGUACACUCUCGGCUUAGGCGAGCCAAACCUCGCCGGGAAACCAAACCUCGAAUACGACGCCGUUUGCAAACCACACGAGCUCCACUCUCUGAAAAAGAACCCCUACGAUCACCAAAUAAACAAUCACGAGAAUCAGACUCUCUACACAGCACACCAAAUCCUCGAAUCGUGGAUCUUCACAACGCAGCAGCUCCUAAAACGCAUCGUUUCCAGGAUAGAGAGUAAGCAAUUCGAAGAAGCGUCAAACGACUGCUAUCUACUCGAAAGAAUCUGGAAACUUCUGUCGGAGAUCGAAGACCUCCACCUGUUGAUGGAUCCGGACGAUUUCUUGAGGCUGAAGAAUCAGCUAUCGAUAUCCUCGUCAUCCGAAUCCGGCCCGUUUUGUUUUAGAUCACGUGGGCUGUUUGAAAUUACGAAACAGUCCAAGGAAUUAAAACACAAUGUACCGUUAAUACUAGGAGUGGAGGUGGACCCGAGGGGUGGGCCCAGGGUGCAGGAGGCGGCGAUGAGAAUGUACAACGAGAAGAAAGAAAGAGACUUCGCGAAGAUUCAUCUGGUUCAGGCACUGCAAGCGGUGGAGGCCGCGUUGAAGCGGUUCUUUUACGCGUAUAAGCAGUUGCUGGCGGUGGUGAUGGGGAGCUUAGAGGCGAAGGCCAACGGAGUUGUGGUGGUCAGUGGGGCAUCGAGUGACUCGCUGAGUCAGUUAUUUCUUGAGCCGACUUAUUAUCCGAGUUUGGAUGCUGCCAAGACUUUCUUGGGAGAGUUUUGGAGUCAUGAAAUUGAAAAGAAACAUUAAACUUUCAGUUAUAGUUUCAUUCUAUUUUACAGUUCAUACACAAACCCCAAAAAAAAUUAAAUUAAAGCAUUAUUCUUUGUAUUGAGUUUGGGCAGAUUUUUGCGUCGGUUGUACAAUUUAUUAGUUGAUGCUACAUCGUUGUAAAAUAUUUUACUAUGAUUAUAAUGGAAAGACCGAAAUUUUGAUUCAUAAGUUUGUUUUUGGCUGUUUAAAGGCUGUUUCAGAAUGCUUUUUUAGUAUUUGAAAGUGAUUUAAAAAUGUAAAAAGUUAAUUGUUUUGAUUUAGUUUUUUUUUAAAAAAAUUAUUUUGAUAAAAUUAUCAGCUCAUAGUAAAUAAUAAAGAGUAAUUUUUUAAAAUUUGAUUUCGAGAACUAACAUUACUCUUAUUAAAUUUUAUCCAUCAUAUUCUUUCAUAUUUUUAUAAUAGUUUAAUCCUUUAAGAUUAAUAGAACUUUUAAAAAUAAAUUUUACAAAAUAUUCAACUAAUUCUUUUUAUAAUUAAUUAUUUUUAUAACACAAUGGACAAAACUAUCUUACCCUCGUUGUACCGAACACCAUUUUGGUGUUUUCUUUAGCAGUCCCUAUAGUUUUCUAUAAAUAAUAAAAAUUUUAUGCAUAAGCCCCAAUUAAAAUAUAAUAAUUUCAAAAUUCUAAAAAAUUUAUUUGGUAUUUUCUUCAAAAAUCCCUAUUGUUUUCCGUAAAUAAUAAAAACUAUAAGUUUUAAUAAUUUUAUGUAAUAAACCCAAUUAAAAUAUAAUAAUUUUAAAAUUCUAAAAAAUUUAUUCUCUCUCUACUUCUCAACCAAUUUUAAAUUUAAGUAAUAGAAUAAAUAUUAUACAAUUUAUUUGUUUUCAUAUUAAAUAAAUAAUUGAUCAGUUUCAUACGUGUGAUAAAAUAUAAGUAAAUUUAAACAAUCUCAAAUUUACAUAUUGAAAUUUAUUAUUUUGAAAAUAUUAUUUAUAAACUCUAUAAUGAGAAUUUAAAUGACUAUCCAAGAAUUUAUUUAAUAUUUAUCUUUUUUUCAUUUUAAUAUUGACAAAAUUUAUAUAAAACCUUGUCCAAUUUUGUGUUACACUAAAUACAAAAUAGUAUUAUUAAAAUCUAAUUGGUAUUUUAAGUAAAUAGAAGUAGAGAGUAUUUUACCAAGUUAAAAUAAUUCAUUCAUAUUUUUAAUAUAUAAAUAUGUUCAUUUACUAAAUUACCUUUGACAAUAAAAUAUUUUAACGGACCAAUGUGUCAAAAUUUUGAAACUUAAUUUUUUCUUCUUCUUUUAGUAAACAUAAGGGACAACAUCGUUAAUAAUCAAAUAACACCAUCCAAGCCGUUGUAAUAGCAUUUGCAACUCUUGGGUUGGAUCCAAUGGUUGAAAAAAAAAAGGUAUAAAAUUACACUUGUAUUGUAGCUGGACCUUUUUAUAACACAACUAACAAUAAUUAUUUUAAAAACUCUUUAUAUAUGUUCUUUUUACUACACACCUUCACUGUAAUCUAGAUGAUUAGAAAUCAUUUAAUGAGAAGUGGCAAGGCAUAUGGAUAUUUAUAACAUUCAUCCCAUGCAAUAUUUCAUGAAAAUAAUAAAUUAUUUCGUCCAAAUUGAAAAAUUGUUUGCGUAGCAUAAAUCUUCAAUUUGAAAUCUUAGUCAAAUAAUCAAGAUAAAUGUAUAUUUACACUCCCUAUGAAUAAAGGAAUAAGGAGCGACUAACUUUAUGACUUACGAACGAACAGAGAUGUGAAGCCCUCUGCUGGGGAGAAAGAUUAUCAAAAGUGGGGUGCUUUUGUUUCAGAAUUAUUUUGAAAGCGCUUCUUAAGGGUCUCACCUACUUUUAAUUUUUCUCGGUCUAUGUUUCUGUUGUAUGUUUAUAAUUUCUCUCAUUGUUUAUUUUUCUCAGACACUAUCAUCAAUUUAUCAUUUCUUCAAGCUGAAAGAGACCUGAAGAUGGCGAUAGCACAAGGCUCAGCAAAUAAUCGGUGAUUCAAUCAUUCGCAUUCAGAAGAAUCCUUGGAACAUUUGUAGUUAUCAUUCAACAUUUUGAUGGUAAAAUUCUUGUUUGGGAUAAAUUUGGGACAUCAAUUUGGAUUGAUGUGCAAAUGACACGUAAUAACAUAGAAUAAAUGGAAGAAAAGUCUACAUUAUUGAGUGGAGGGAGGAUAGCUUACAAAGGUUAUCGAAGCCAAAUUCGAUGGUUAGAGCAAACCAUCAUGAAAAAAGAAUAAAAUAUAUCCAUUUUGAGCUCUCCAUCUUUAAAUUAACUCCAUAUAUCUCUUUAUAUUAUUUCAAACUUAGAACACCUCAUUUUACUUUUGAAAUCACGUUAGUUCAUCUCCCAAAUCACCUCAGUUUACUGUUGGCCGCGCGCUGCUUGCUGCUGGUUGCCGCUGAAAUUUCCAGCCUUCGUUCUCUGAUCUGUCAUCGCGUGAUUAUUCUGCAGCGAUUUACAAAUUUCCUAGGCCAAUUUUGGCUUAGAAAAAUUCUAUAACAGUAAAAUAAAUCAAGAUGGAAACAUGGUGAUAAAACAAUACCCCUCUUAUUACAGAUCCAAAAGAAAAAUACAAUGGAAGAUCUAAUCAUGAAUUAAGACAAACCAAAACAUACUUUAUUCAUAUAUUAAAUAAAUAAUAUAUAUAUGAAUAAAUUGUGCCACUGUAAUACAUAAAUUUCAAGAAUGAUUUCAUACAAUAUUCUUAUAUAUUAAUAUGAGAUGGCUCUGAUACCAAUUGUUGGGGAAAGAUCAGGUUUUUUAAUUUUUUUUAAAAAACCCUUUUAAGAUCGCUCUCAUUUAAUAUACAAGAAUUUGUAAUCUAGAAAUCGUACCUUGAAAAUCCGAUUUAGAUUUUUCCACUGAAGUGAUUUAGGCGCUCCCAAAUCACGAUCCGUCACCACCACGACUGUUAGAUCACGAUCCGUCACCACCACGCUUAUUAGAUCACGAACUUUCACCAAUGAUCUCCAGGUUAUGACUCAGGUUUGAUCUACACUUAAUGUGUGGGCACCUUUAUCACUACUAAAGCAACUAGCAUGAGAAAAUUUUUCUCUCAACAAUAGAGAGAAAAAUCUUUUUCUCUGAUCUGUAUAAAGUGGUUGCUCUUUUUUCUUUAGAGAAAAUAAGCAUUUUUAUAUCACCCUUUAGUGAAAACCAUAGGCUCCAAAUAAUCAAAAAUCAAAACUCACGUUACUUGCUUUUUCUAUAGGGGACCCACCUUGUAAAAUAACAUAAGGCCCUUUACACACAAGCUAAUUAAAUGGAGUCUCCCACUAAAUAAUAUAUUUAGGCUUUUGACCAAAAUAGCUAGUUAUCUUGCUUAUUAAUCCAGUAGUGGUGCAGUCAAUUAAAUGAGCUAACCCGGGGAUUAUUUGAGAACAUACAAUAGUGGCUACAAUAAUUAGACUUGUAAUUAAACUAGCCCAAUUAUUUAAUUCUAAAUCUACUCCACUAAAAGAUUGGAACUGACUUCCAUAAUUGUAUGCUCGAAUAAUAAUUCGUCCUAAGCCACAUUGAUUUCUUUACUACACAAUCAUUUGUACCACAUCAUUAAUUAAAUCGAUAUCUCAACGGUCCAAUCAAUUUAAUUACAUUUUGUUCUUUAAUACUUACCGGUUUUCUCUAAUGAUAAUUUUCAACAUACUAAAUAUGUUGACAUACUCUGGCCAUAAUAUUCUAUGAUCAAGUGCCGAAAACCUAUCAAGCGAUGUGUUGUACAAAUUCUAUAUUGUUAAUCCAUAACUCUAAUACUCAUAAUUGCUCCCACCAAGAUACCGGGUAAUCUUGACCACAAGUAUGUAUCGUGCCUAUUGGUAACUCAAAUGGAAUAACAAUUACAAUCAUGAAAUCAUAAUUAACUCAAGAUUAAGAUUACAGUAAAAUCAAUGCCUAUGAGAUUUAAUAAGUCUGACAGUUAUUACAAAGUUAAUUAAAUCUCAUAUGUGAUCCUGUUCAAUGUAGUCGCACUACAUCAAUAAAUUCAUACAUGAUUAAGACAAAUCAUUCAAUGAAUUUAUUACAGUCUAUACCUAAAUAAAGUGCCCAACUUUAUUUAUCAACUGCGAACUAAAUUUAUUUAAUCAUAAGAUAACUUGUAUUUAUGUAUUCUGUGAAUCCACAUGGUGAUCACAUAAAUACAUAUAAUAUGAUUAAAUGGACUUUAAUAAAAAUAUUAAUGCAAUUAAGAUAUUUGAAUAAAAUACCUCAUUAAUUUUAUUAAUCAGAAAAAAUAUUUAUUACAAUUAAAUAAACACAUAUGCUUUUAAAGAGCAUAUUUUCCCAACAACAACGACUAUGACAAUAUCAUCAUCACCAUCAUCAUCGUUAUAUCUCAUGUCAAUAACGAGUCCCUUGAUAGUUUGAUCAAACUCAUAUGUCCUGUAUUUCAUAAUCCAUGUAAUCAUUCAAUGUCGAGUGCCCAAGUCUUCAUUUGUGAAAUGGGUGUAUUUUGUCAUUAUUGGUAAUUGAAUUAAAGCUCUCUAGUUUUUUGUAUUUAUAUUUUCUGUGAAUCCACAUGAUGAUCACAUAAAUACAUAUAAUAUGAUUAAAUAGACUUUAAUAAAAAUUUAAUGCAAUUAAGAUAUUUGAAUAAAAUGUCUCAUUUAUUUUAUUAAUCAGAAAAAUUAUUUAUUACAAUUAAAUAAACACAUAUGCUUUUAAAGAACAUAUUUUCCCGAACACAUAGUACCACAACGAGUAUAAAAUCUCAGAUUUGAUUCCUCUACAUGCAUGUAAUCCUCCUUGUUUGAAUUAUUUCUCCAAUUCUUGGGUUCACUUUUGGGACGCUUGUCAGCUUAAACUUUUAGGUGAUUCUUCUGAAAAUGGCAUCAGUGUUCAUAUUAUUGUUGGAGUAUGAUUUCUCUUAUAAUGGUAUCAAAGUUAGAAGUAUUAAUGUCAAUUUUUUUCCCUAGCUUUACUUCUUUCUUUUUCGCCAUUUUUGGUUCGUCAAGCAAUAGGCGUGUAGUUACAAAAAUGAAAAUAUUCGUGAUCAAAUGCGAAUUUGAUAUUUUGCUUCGUUUGGUUACUGAGAUAGUAAAAAGAGAACUCAGAGAAUUUGAUAGAGAUGAACAUUCUGGAUUAUAUUAAUUAACACUCCAAAUCAAUGUACAAGCCAGUAUCUAUACAUACUAGUAAAUUGAAAUCCAAAUAUCUAAAACAACUCGUAACACUACAACAAAAAGGAGUUUUUACGGUGGAGUUCUAACGGCAUAUUAUAAUUACAUGUUGUUAAAAAUAUGUAAAGACGGAAUGUAUUAAAAUAUUCACCGUUAAAAGAUUCCACUAUAUAAUAAGAUGGCAUAUUUUUAAAAAAUUGCCGUUGAUUGCUUGGAUAAUAAAUUUUUAAUAGCAUAAAAAUAUCAAUCCCCGUAAAAAUAGUUUUCAAUAGCGCGUGAUAUUUGCUGUUAAUUAAUAAUAAAAGAUGGCCUUGGACUUAUCCUGUUAAAUUAGAAUCUUACUACAAACAAAAUAGGAACACUUUACUAAUUUCUCUCUAGUUUGCAAAUUUCCCACCUCUUCUAAAACACUCCCGCAUUAAUUCUCUAUGGAGAUUCGGCUGUUAUCAAAUUCUUCCAAAAAUUUUUGAUUUUUUCCAAUUUUAUCUCAUAUUUUUAGAAUACCCAUACUUCUAAAUGCCCUAGUUUUUCAGAUUUUCCCUCUCUUAUUUGGAAUCGUAUACCCUUUUAACCUUAGUAUUUCAUCCUCUCUGCAAUUUUAUUUCAUUCUCUCUGCAAUUUCACAAAGGUUUGGCCUCAAUCUUCUUUUUAAUUCCUAUUAUCGCCGUUUGUACCAUCAGCGACAAGGAAAGGUAAGAACUUUUAUUUAAUAUGUAAUUUUCUUUUCAUUUGAUUUGGAAAUCGUUAUGUUGGGNNNNNNNNNNNNNNNNNNNNNNNNNNNNNNNNNNNNNNNNNNNNNNNNNNNNNNNNNNNNNNNNNNNNNNNNNNNNNNNNNNNNNNNNNNNNNNNNNNNNNNNNNNNNNNNNNNNNNNNNNNNNNNNNNNNNNNNNNNNNNNNNNNNNNNNNNNNNNNNNNNNNNNNNNNNNNNNNNNNNNNNNNNNNNNNNNNNNNNNNNNNNNNNNUUUUUUUUUCAUUUGUUCUUUUAUGCUUAAUACUAAAUGAUUUUAUUUUUUAGCAUGCAAAUAACUUGUUUGAUUAUCUUUAUCUUUUAAAAACCUUAGUUGUAUAAUAUAUGUAUAUAUGCUUGUUUAUGAGCUAGUACUUUUGCCAAAUAAUGUCAUCUAGUCGUGAUGUCUUAUUUGCAAGUUUGGGUUGAAAAAGAAUUUUGAUUAUUUUUAUUCGUAACUGUCGUCAACAUUUGUGGUAGCAACUAAUAUAACUUUACUUGUUGAGCGGUGCAUCACUUUAGCAUAAACGAAUUUCUUAGAAAAGAAAACAUUAAAUAAAAAUGGCCGCAUGUACAUAUAUGUCCUCUGCUUCCAUGAUUUUUUAGCAUGCAAAUAACAUGUACAUAUUCGUAACUGUUAAUAAAUGCCAACUAACUAGCUAGUCCAAUCUCUUGGCAUCUUGCUAUUUCUUUUCUAUUAACGCUAUAAAAGAGAAACAACAGUAAAGCAGAGGUCCACAAGGGAAAAAAAAACAGCCAGGGUAAAAUCUAUUGGCAUCAGUACCAAAGACCUGAAAUCAAAUAUUGCCAUCACCAAGGAUUGGAAGGUCUAUGAUUGGAGAAUCCCAAGCCAUGGUGGUUUUCCAUGUCUACAAACUCAAUAAUACAUUUUAAUUGUUUCUGGAGAAUUUCAAAGCAAAUUAUAUCUUGAACAGAUCUAUCUGAAUUCAGGACAACUGAAAUUUGUAGUUGGCAAAAGUUUGAGCACUAAUGCAAAUUGCAAUCACAGAUAAGUUCUUUUGCCAAUAAUGCAAAUAACUUGUUUGAUUAUCUUUAUCUUUUAAAAACCUUAGUUGUAUAAUAUAUGUAUAUAUGCUUGUUUAUGAGCUAGUACUUUUGCCAAAUAAUGUCAUCUAGUCGUGAUGUCUUAUUUGCAAGUUUGGGUUGAAAAAGAAUUUUGAUUAUUUUUAUUCGUAACUGUUUGUUAAAAAAAAAGAGUAAGAAAAAGAAUUGGUUAUGUAUAGCAGAUUGAGCAAUCUGAUUCUUUGCUAGACAAAUAAUUAAAAAAAUAUGUUUUAUAUUUAAACAACAGAUCAAAGAGGUUACAAGCAAGCACUUGAUGUCAUGUUGAUGGAUAAAAAAUGGGUGAAGCUUAAUAGGUUAGUAUUUGAAUAACUGCAGUAUUUAAAUAUUUUAUGCUAAUAGAUUUAAAGUUUUAUUUUUUUUUAACUUUUUUUUAUAUGUAGAUAUACUAAAGAAUUUCAAGAUGGAGCCCAAAAAUUUGUCAACUUGGCUAGAAAAAAUGCUGGAAAUUCUGAUAGGAUUAUAUGUCCAUGCAUAAAAUGUGCCUGUUAUUGUCGUCAACAUGUAGACACGGUAUAUGAACAUUUAGUGAUAAGUGGGAUGGAUCCCACUUAUGAUAAUUGGGUUUUUCAUGGAGAAGCUCCAAAUACUUCUAGGCAAGAUAAAGAUGUGAAGAUGACAGACGCUUACGAAAUGUAUAAUGAUGCUUAUCUUCAAAACUAUGGUGUCAUAGAUAACCCAAAUGACUACAUUGAUGAUACCACACAUAGGUUAGAAGAAAAUGAGUUUACUGAAAAGGUGAAAGCUGCUGAGACUUCUUUAUACCUAGAAUGUUCAAAAUAUACAAAAAUGUCAGCAACUGUUGCCUUAUAUAAACACAAGAUUGCACAUGGAUUAUCUGAUAAUGGUUUUAAUGAACUUCUUCAGAUUAUUUUCGAUAUGUUACCUGAAGAUAAUAUUUUACCUGGUUCUCUACACUUAGUGAAGAAACUGCUUAAGGAUUUUGACAGUGGUUACAAAAAAAUCCAUGCUUGUGUUAAUGAUUGUUGUCUCUUCACCAAGGAGAAAGAAAAUUUAGAUACAUGUCCUAAGUGUAACACCUCUAGAUGGCAAGUAAAUUCUCGAACUAAGAAGAUUAGGACAGGAGUACCAGCAAAAGUGCUGCGUUAUUUCCCUAUAAUACCUAGACUUAGAAAGAUGUUUAUGUCAUGUGAAAAAGUAGAACAAUUGAAAUGGCACUCAAUUAACAAAAGUUCAGAUGGAAAAAUGAGACACCCAGUUGAUUCAGUGGCAUGGGAUAACAUCAAUAAGAAAUGGUCUAAUUUUGCAUCUGAUCCAAGAAAUAUCAGGUUUGGGGUUGCUGCUGAUGGGUUUAACCCUUUUUGUAAUUUUAGCUCUGUAUACAGUUGUUGGCCUAUUUUCCUAGUAACAUAUAACCUCCCUCCAUGGGUAUGUAUGUCUGAGGAGAACAUAAUGUUGACAUUAUUAAUACCAGGGCCAAAACAAUUCAGGACAACUGAAAUUUGUAGUUGGCAAAAGUUUGAGCACAAAUGCAAAUUGCAAUCACAGAUAAGUUCUUUUGCCAAUAAUACAAAUAACUUGUUUGAUUAUCUUUAUCUUUUAAAAACCUUAGUUGUAUAAUAUAUGUAUAUAUGCUUGUUUAUGAGCUAGUACUUUUGCCAAAUAAUGUCAUCUAGUCGUGAUGUCUUAUUUGCAAGUUUGGGUUGAAAAAGAAUUUUGAUUAUUUUUAUUCGUAACUGUUUGUUAAAAAAAAGAGUAAGAAAAAGAAUUGGUUAUGUAUAGCAGAUUGAGCAAUCUGAUUCUUUGCUAGACAAAUAAUUAAAAAAAUAUGUUUUAUAUUUAAACAACAGAUCAAAGAGGUUACAAGCAAGCACUUGAUGUCAUGUUGAUGGAUAAAAAAUGGGUGAAGCUUAAUAGGUUAGUAUUUGAAUAACUGCAGUAUUUAAAUAUUUUAUGCUAAUAGAUUUAAAGUUUUAUUUUUUUUUAACUUUUUUUUAUAUGUAGAUAUACUAAAGAAUUUCAAGAUGGAGCCCAAAAAUUUGUCAACUUGGCUAGAAAAAAUGCUGGAAAUUCUGAUAGGAUUAUAUGUCCAUGCAUAAAAUGUGCCUGUUAUUGUCGUCAACAUGUAGACACGGUAUAUGAACAUUUAGUGAUAAGUGGGAUGGAUCCCACUUAUGAUAAUUGGGUUUUUCAUGGAGAAGCUCCAAAUACUUCUAGGCAAGAUAAAGAUGUGAAGAUGACAGACGCUUACGAAAUGUAUAAUGAUGCUUAUCUUCAAAACUAUGGUGUCAUAGAUAACCCAAAUGACUACAUUGAUGAUACCACACCUAGGUUAGAAGAAAAUGAGUUUACUGAAAAGGUGAAAGCUGCUGAGACUUCUUUAUACCUAGGAUGUUCAAAAUAUACAAAAAUGUCAGCAACUGUUGCCUUAUAUAAACACAAGAUUGCACAUGGAUUAUCUGAUAAUGGUUUUAAUGAACUUCUUCAGAUUAUUUUCGAUAUGUUACCUGAAGAUAAUAUUUUACCUGGUUCUCUACACUUAGUGAAGAAAUUGCUUAAGGAUUUUGAUAGCGGUUACAAAAAAAUCCAUGCUUGUGUUAAUGAUUGUUGUCUCUUCACCAAGGAGAAAGAAAAUUUAGAUACAUGUCCUAAGUGUAACACCUCUAGAUGGCAAGUAAAUUCUCGAACUAAGAAGAUUAGGACAGGAGUACCAGCAAAAGUGCUGCGUUAUUUCCCUAUAAUACCUAGACUUAGAAAGAUGUUUAUGUCAUGUGAAAAAGUAGAACAAUUGAAAUGGCACUCAAUUAACAAAAGUUCAGAUGGAAAAAUGAGACACCCAGUUGAUUCAGUGGCAUGGGAUAACAUCAAUAAGAAAUGGUCUAAUUUUGCAUCUGAUCCAAGAAAUAUCAGGUUUGGGCUUGCUGCUGAUGGGUUUAACCCUUUUAGUAAUUUUAGCUCUGUAUACAGUUGUUGGCCUAUUUUCCUAGUAACAUAUAACCUCCCUCCAUGGGUAUGUAUGUCUGAGGAGAACAUAAUGUUGACAUUAUUAAUACCAGGGCCAAAACAACCAGGGAAUGACAUUGAUGUAUUCUUGGAGCCAUUAAUAGAUGAUUUGAUUUAAUUGUGGAACAAUGGUGUUCAAGUUUAUGAUUCUUUGAAUAAAUCUGCUUUUAAACUAAAAGCUAUUUUAAUGUGGACAAUUAAUGAUUUUCCGGCUUAUGGUAAUUUAGCUGGAUGUACUACAAAAGGAGAGUUAGCAUGUCCUAUAUGUGGUCCAAACGUAUGUUCUGAAUGGUUAGCAAAUAGUAAAAAGAUGGUAUAUAGAGGUCAUAGACGAUUUUUACAUCCGAGACAUGAAUGGCGUAUUGAGAAAAAAGAUUGGUUUGAUGGAAAGGAAGAAACAAGACGGCCUCCUAAACCUUUGACGGGUGAAGACAUUGUACUUGCCUUAAGUAAUAUUCAAAACAAUUGGGGUAAAUAUAAGAAAAAGAGAAGCAGGAGGCAAAAUGAACCAAAAAGUAUGUGGAAGAAGAAGUCAAUUUUUUUUAGCUUACCUUAUUGGAAGGUAAUCUCUUAUCAUUGUUUAAUACUUCAUUUCUUUUAUUUGUCUAAGAGUUGUUUUUAGUCAUUUUUAAAUUAGUUUUUUGUUUAUAUGUAUUUGAAGUAAUUUGCUAAUGAUAGACAUUUUUAAAGAUAAUUAAAAAAUGGAUAAUAAAUAGUAUUUUAGUUUCUUUUAAUUUUUUCCUGAGCUAAAUUAUGAAUUAAAAAACUUUAUUGUGUGCAGGAGUUAGACUUGCGUCACAACUUGGAUGUGAUGCAUAUUGAGAAGAAUGUUUGUGAUAGUAUCAUUGGAACAUUACUGAACAUAAAAGGAAAAACAAAAGACGGAAUUGAAUCUCGUAGAGAUUUAGUGACAAUGGGCAUUAGACAAGACUUGCAGCCUAAUUUAAAAGAAAAUAAACUUACAUUGCCAGCAGCAUCAUUCACAUUGUCAAAAGAGGAGAAAGUAAUAUUUUGUAAGCGUCUUUCUGAGCUAAAAGUACCUGAUGGUUAUAGCUCUAAUAUUGCUAAUUGUGUUUCAGUAGAAGAGUGUAAAAUAACAGGUCUAAAGUCACAUGAUUGUCAUGUGUUAAUGCAGCAAUUACUACCAGUAGCAUUGAGAAAUCUUUUACCUAGUGGACCUAGGACAGCAAUAUUUCGAAUAUGUGCAUUUUUCAAUCAAUUAUGUCAAAGAGUAAUAGAUAGAAAUGCAUUGGAAAAAUUAGAGUCAGAUAUGUAUGAGACUGUGUGCAUGUUGGAGAUGUACUACCUACCAGCAUUUUUCGAUAUUAUGAUUCACUUGACAAUUCAUUUAGGGCGAGAGGCUCGAUUAUGUGGGCCAGUUCAUUAUCGUUGGAUGUUCCCAUUUGAGAGGUAAUAAUUAUCUCUUUUCUUAUAUUUUUUCUUUUUAAAUUCACUCUUUAAAUAGUUAAUAUUUCUUUUACUUUUAUAUAGAUGUAUGAAAACACUUAAGGGAUACAUUAGAAAUCGUGCAAGGCCUGAAGGGUGUAUAGCAGAGUGUUGUCUAGCUGAGGAGUGUGUAAGAUUUUGUAGCGAAUAUAUGCAAAAAGCAAAAAAUAUAGGUGCACUUCCUAUGCGUAACGAGGAAAGUAGUGACGAGAUAAUUAUAGGAGGGCGGCCAAUCUUAAAAGGUCGACCAUUGAAAAUGUCUGAAGCUAUGUUAAAAAUCACACAUCGUUAUGUAUUAUUAAGUACAAUAGAAGCGGAGCCAUUUCGAGAGUGAGUAUUUAUCGAUCAUGUAUAUUAUUUAAUUUAUGUAUUUAGUCUUGUAAUUAACUUAGUUUGAUCUUAGAAUGCAUAUGGAGGAAUUGCAGAGAUCAUUUAGGAGACGUAGGUCUGAUAUUCAAGAGCUACACAAAAUGCACACUGAAACNNNNNNNNNNNNNNNNNNNNNNNNNNNNNNNNNNNNNNNNNNNNNNNNNNNNNNNNNNNNNNNNNNNNNNNNNNNNNNNNNNNNNNNNNNNNNNNNNNNNNNNNNNNNNNNNNNNNNNNNNNNNNNNNNNNNNNNNNNNNNNNNNNNNNNNNNNNNNNNNNNNNNNNNNNNNNNNNNNNNNNNNNNNNNNNNNNNNNNNNNNNNNNNNNNNNNNNNNNNNNNNNNNNNNNNNNNNNNNNNNNNNNNNNNNNNNNNNNNNNNNNNNNNNNNNNNNNNNNNNNNNNNNNNNNNNNNNNNNNNNNNNNNNNNNNNNNNNNNNNNNNNNNNNNNNNNNNNNNNNNNNNNNNNNNNNNNNNNNNNNNNNNNNNNNNNNNNNNNNNNNNNNNNNNNNNNNNNNNNNNNNNNNNNNNNNNNNNNNNNNNNNNNNNNNNNNNNNNNNNNNNNNNNNNNNNNNNNNNNNNNNNNNNNNNNNNNNNNNNNNNNNNNNNNNNNNNNNNNNNNNNNNNNNNNNNNNNNNNNNNNNNNNNNNNNNNNNNNNNNNNNNNNNNNNNNNNNNNNNNNNNNNNNNNNNNNNNNNNNNNNNNNNNNNNNNNNNNNNNNNNNNNNNNNNNNNNNNNNNNNNNNNNNNNNNNNNNNNNNNNNNNNNNNNNNNNNNNNNNNNNNNNNNNNNNNNNNNNNNNNNNNNNNNNNNNNNNNNNNNNNNNNNNNNNNNNNNNNNNNNNNNNNNNNNNNNNNNNNNNNNNNNNNNNNNNNNNNNNNNNNNNNNNNNNNNNNNNNNNNNNNNNNNNNNNNNNNNNNNNNNNNNNNNNNNNNNNNNNNNNNNNNNNNNNNNNNNNNNNNNNNNNNNNNNNNNNNNNNNNNNNNNNNNNNNNNNNNNNNNNNNNNNNNNNNNNNNNNNNNNNNNNNNNNNNNNNNNNNNNNNNNNNNNNNNNNNNNNNNNNNNNNNNNNNNNNNNNNNNNNNNNNNNNNNNNNNNNNNNNNNNNNNNNNNNNNNNNNNNNNNNNNNNNNNNNNNNNNNNNNNNNNNNNNNNNNNNNNNNNNNNNNNNNNNNNNNNNNNNNNNNNNNNNNNNNNNNNNNNNNNNNNNNNNNNNNNNNNNNNNNNNNNNNNNNNNNNNNNNNNNNNNNNNNNNNNNNNNNNNNNNNNNNNNNNNNNAUCCUCAUGUAAGGAAGGAUUCUGAGGAAAUUGAAAUUGAAAUUUAAACUAUUAUUAUUCAUUUUGAAUUUGGAAUUCAUUGUUUAUUAUUUUUUAUAGUGUGAAUGCAUAUUUGAUUUACUGUAGUAUGAAUAAUGAACAUAUGCUAAUAAUGUUGUUAUAUUUGUAGUAACAGCUGCGUUUUAUCUUUUUCUUUUCCUAAUGAUAUAUCAUGUUCACUUACUCUUAACAUGUUGUAGCUAGCAUAAAGAUUCAUUUUUAUCGUGAACACUUAAUUAGAGAAAAUGACUAUGGGCAACGGUGGAAAGGUAAGUUUUAGAAGUGUUUUGAUAUAAUUCAUUGAUUAGAACAUUAAGAAAUACUUUUUGUUGAACUUAUAAAUGUUUCCAACUUCCUAAAGGAUAAGAGCAAAGGAAAAAGACCAUUCCUAGCAUCAAAUAUUGUUGCAAGAGAGGAGCAAGAGAUAAGGCGAAGAUUAGAUAGUCAGUCCAACCCACAAAGUUUCAGUGAACCAUCCGAGCCAACAAAACUAGGUCUUUAUUUUAUUUAGUCAUGAAAUAUUUAUUUAAUUAUAUGUUUUUCUCAUGAUUCUCUUUUCGUUUCUUUAACAUAAUAAUAUUUUAUUUAUUGUAUAUUUUUUAAUUUGGUUGUUUUGUAAUAAAUAGUAAUGUUGGAAGUUUGAAAAUUUUAACACGUUAACAGAGAAGAAGAAAAGAGGCCCAUCAAGGAUGAAUGUGGUGGCAACUAAAAAAAAUGAGCGCCUAGUGGUAGAGUUUAAUGAAUAUGACCAACCAAUCGGACCAACCUCCGUAGUGUUAAGUUCGGCCAUGGGAGUAUUGUUCGAGAGACGGUAUCAAUAAUUCCAGAUUGUUGGACCACUGUUGAUUCAGAAACUAAAGAAGUGCUUUGGACAGCUGUUAAGGUAUGAUAGCCUUUUUAUUAAUUUCAUUUAUAAAUAAUAAUACUUUAAAGCAACUAACAAUGUUGUUUAUUUUAAUAUCAUUGCAGCAAAAGUUUAUCAUUGAUGACCAUAAAAAAGAAAACAUACUUGCUCGAAUGAGAAAGUUAUGGAUAGAUUACAAAUCCAAAUUGUCAAUUAGUAUAAGGGAAGCAUUUCAAAUGCCUGAUGCAACUAGGAAACUGAAGUUGCUAAAACCUGAAGAUGUGACUGAUGAAGAAUGGAGGAAAUUUGUUGCCCACCGAUUAAGCAAAGAUUGGAAAGUAUGUAUGUCAAUAUAUUAUUUAUAUUUCACGUUACUACAUUCAAUAUAUCCUAUGUCUUAUAGGAGAGAAGUGAAAAAUUCCAACAAUUGAGAGCAACACAAACAAAGCCUCACACAACAAGUCGAAAAGGCAUGGCACGGACACGGGAUGAAAUGGUUUUAUCUACUUCAAACUUGAUUGGUGACAAGAUUUAGUGACAAGACGGCUGCUGCUGAAUCAAUGGUACUAAUAAAUACAAUUGCUUGGUUUAUAUAACAAUAAUAUGAUAUGAAAUUCCAUUAAUAUAGUCUUAGUAUCUUGUAAUAUAUGCUCAUUUAGAAAAAACUUAAAGAAAUUUCUGCAAUGUCAACUGAAGAGGAUCAAACCUCCUUAAAGAAUGAUGGAAUUGCAAAACUAAAAGGUGAUGAGCGUCCUGGCUGUGUCAAAGGUAUGGGAUUUGGUGUAACACCUUCAAAAGUAGCUGCACAGGUCCAAGGCAACCGCAAAGUAAAGAAGCUUGAGAAUGAUUUGAAAGAACUAAGUGAUCGAUUUACUGAAUUUCAAAAUUUUUUCAUGUCUAGGAGAAGAUUUAGUAAGGUAAGUUAUUUAAAUUAAUAAUUAAUUGUACCAUCAUAUUUACUUUUUUCAUAUAAUAUUAUUUUGAUUUUUAUAUUUUAACAGGACCAUGUUAACAUUGAUGACAACUUGGACAAUAAUCUUGCACCAACUCCUCAGGUUUUAUUGGUUUCAUAUGUUUUAUAUAUAAAUUUAUGAUUUUUCAAAAACAAAUUUUUACUUUGUUUUAAUAUAUAAUUUUUUUGUUUUCUGAUAGUCCUUUGAAGAUAGCACAGCUAUUCCAAAUACUCCAACUAAUGGUGAUAUUUGUAAACUCUUAAAUUGGUUGGGUACUGGGGAAGUGGUUGCAAAAGGAAUGAUAGCUGCAACAAAUCCUGAGGCAUUGGUCCACCAUGUUCAACUUGGACCAGAUUACUACAAAGUAUGGGUUGAUGAAGUGAAUAAACCAUCAUUAUCUCUGGUUUGACCAACUCAAAAGUUCUUUAACUUAGGUGAUGCAAAAUGGAGCACAAUUGCAUGGCCUAUAAAGUACAUCACCUUGGAUUAACUCAAGUAAAGGUAAUGCUAUAAUUUAAAUUAUAUUUUACCUAUAGAAUGUCAUAUGUAUAUAUACGUAAAAAAUAAAAGUUGGGAGUUUAUAAACUAGAACAUAAUAUUUUAAUUCUCAUUGUUGCAGGAAUUUGAAGUUCUUGGGUAAAGAUUAUUUCGCAAUAAUGAAUGUUUUCAUCAUAGAGGACUUGAUCAAGUUGCUUAAUUUAAGUUCAUGUUAAGGAUACUAUUUUUGGUACUCAGUAGUUUCUUUUCAAACAAUGGCUAUAUUUUCCAUCUUUUCUUGACAAUGAGUUCUUUAUAUCAUAUUGUUCAUUAUAGAUUUUUUUUCUUUUUUUAAUACAAUUUUGUUUGGACACCAUGUGUACACAAAUUUGAAUACAAUUUUGUUUGGACAAUCGUGUGUAUGUUUACUUUAUUUAUUUAGAAAAUUCGAAUGUAUUAUUUAUAUAAAUGAAAUUAGGAAUAUAUCGAGGAAUUAAAUAGUAAGUUAAUUUAAAUUGCAACAGGUUAAUUAUAUGGUAAAAUUGAUUUUUUCAAUAGUAAUGACUGUUAUAUAAAUAUUCCACAGCAAAAUUUUAUUAUCACUGUUAAAACUUCUUACAACGGCAUGCACUAACCAUGCUAUCACAUUUUAUCACAUCAGUUUCUUUUUCUCGUUAAAUGUUGAACUAUGUUUAGCGCAAAAAAAAAAAAAAGACGGGAAGUAGUAUUGGCCGUUGAUGAAACAAUCAACGGCUGGUUAUUAUUGCUGUGGAUGGUUAAAACAAGAUUGGCGCCAAAGAUAUAACGGGGAGUAAUGAUGGCUAUUGAUGAAAUUAGCAACGGUGGAUACCCUUCACCGUGUAAUACCUUCUAUAGCAUAGUUAAUAGCGUUGAAUGUUGGCCGUUAAAACUCAUAGCUUUCCACGGCUCAUGGAUCAACGGCACGCAUGUUUUUGCCGUCAUAUCCCAUUGACAGCAUAUUUCCCAUCCCAUGAAAAGCCUAUUCUGUUGUAGUGUAAGAAAUUCUUAAGAGACUAUAAAUGCAAAUGGCGAUAGUAACUUGGUUUGUUACAUGAGGUGUAAAUGAGGUAGCCUCGAUGUAGCUGAUGAUGUUAGGACUCAUGAGCUCCUUGUUUUUUUUUUUUAAUUACAUGAGACUAUUACUGAAGAGUACAACUCAUAUUACAUGAGAUUACAACUGAUAUUUACAAAUCAGACUAUUACUAAGACUUGAGAUUAUUAUUUAUAAAUCAGAAAGCACGCUCAGAUUUUUAUCCUCUAUAAUAUUUAAGGAAUGUCUACUCCACUCACAUUCUGAAAAUGAUAAAACUAUUUUCACUCAAUUUGAGAAAGGAAAUUAAACCCCUCACAAUGUGUUGUGGGGGUUCGAACUCAUGACCUCACAAUUGUAAGGUCAUGAGUUUUUAUAUGAGCUCCUUGUUGCGCGAUGAACUUGAGCUAAUUAAGCUGACGUUGAGAUCAAUUCCGAAAUAAAUUCCAUGUGAGGUGAGAAAAUUCAGAACUCAAAAGAGUGAACGGAUCACAUGGCUUUAGCAUUGAUUCUAUCACUACAGUCAUUUUUAUUAAAUGUACGGUCUUGUGAAAUUGCUCGUGUGGUGUGUGCCCAUUACAUUAGCCAAGUUGGCAAAUUGAAUUUAUCCUGAUAUGGUUAGCUUGGAAUGAUCAAGAUGCAUGUGUAAAUUGUCGGGUCGAAUUGACAGCUGAGUUAUAAUUAUUCACACCAUUGCUGGCAGGGCAGGGCAUGCAUGCAUGCAUGUAGCAGGGAGUUAUUGCAGCUAGCAGAUACUAUAUAUAUAUAUAUAUAUAUAUAUAUAUAGAGCAAUUCUCUAUUUUCUUCUUUCAGCAGUUUAAGAAAUUAUUGCAGUAAUUCUUAGGAUAGGCUAGAUCAAUUUCUCUUCUCUUUUUCUUUUUUUUUUAAUCUUUGUUUUUUUAAACUCCACAAGAAGGAAAUUGAAAGAAAAUGGCCUAAAUUAGAAAACGCACAUCAACAAAUGGCUACUGUCUACAUAUACAUCAUUUUUGUAUCACGGUUGAGAUCCAAAAUUCCAAAUCUCGAAGGAUGAAGUCCAAAUAAGUAAAAGUUAAGCCCAAUGAGAACGAAUUUCCAAAUCCUUCGCCUUUUGUAGGCUCAAAUGCUAUGCUAGUAAAAGACUAAAGUUAGUAAUAUUACAAAACAAUUUAAGUAUUCUUUAAUCAGAUGCAUGCAUUGAGUUAUUGAGUAGGACUCGUAAUGUAAUGUUAUUAAGUUAAAUAUAAUAUAGUUUACCUGUUAUAGCCGGUUAGGCACCCGUGAACGGUGAGCCCAUUCCCGUGAAAGCCGAGCGGAUGAAGCCGAAAAGUCAAACAGGCGUUGACCACCCAUUAGGCUUUGGCGCUAUUUUCUCAACAAGUGUCGAGGAUACGAGCACAAGCACGCGGUUGAAGCUACUUUACGUUUGCAUGUGACUCGGGAAAUGCUAUGACAAAAUCUCAAAUCCCAUGUCGCCACGUGUUCCGAACCCCAACGGUAGAGCCCCACGUGUCCAUCUAUCACGAUCCUUGAUUCACUCAAAAACCGUCCCGUUCAUCCUUUAUUUCGUUGUACGAGUCGAUCGUUUCGAAAAUGGAAGAUCAUCAUCAUAACCACUUUGUUUUGGCUUCUUGUUUAGAAAAAUUCAUUAACAUUGGUAAGAUUUUUCUGAAUCUCCGUUUUGCAUAUUUCGAUUCUCCUUGUCACCGGGUUGCUCUUGAAUUUUUUCUUUUUAUUUUAUUUUUUCAUUUCUUUUUGGGUUGAAUUUCUUCUUCAAAGUUCUGUAAUCACAUGGGAUUACAGCCUUUGACUUUAAUGGCUUUGUUAAGAUGCAUAAGCAACCUCUAGAAUUUCUCAGAAUCUAAUCUUUUUUUGAGAUUUUAUUGGUAUAUUAAUAAUAAUAAUAAACGUAGCUUUUAAAUUAUCUCCUUUUAUACAAAUGGCAUGUCACAAUCAUUAGGAGGGUUUUCUGUGAUUUUAACUAGUCUGUUUUGUUGAUAUUAUUUUGUUUUUUCUUGAUAAAAAUUUUGAGGUUUCCUAGUUGGGAAAUGGGAUUGAUUUUUGGGCCAAGUAUUCAAAAUAGUGUACAGAUUAUAGUUCCCUAUGCACUUUCUCAAAAGCCAGCCUCUUUUAUGUCAUCUGCUUCUUUUACAACUCGUAAUGAAAGCAACCCCCAUCGUACUUUUCGAUUGAAGAAUUGGGGUUUUGGGUCGUGUGUUUCUAGGGGAAAUAGUAUAAAGAGAUCUUGCAGUCCUAAUUUUAAUGAGUUCUUGGAUGAUGAGUUUGCAAAACAAGCUGAAGAAUUAGCACGAAGGUUAGAUAUCGUGGACGAUCAUGUUGAUAAUCAUGAUCAUGAUCAAAAUAAUAAGGAGACAGCGUAUGCUGUAAGUGAUGUAAAUAUGGGGUUUUCGAUGCAAUUUAUGCUUCCAAAGUAUGAAUUGCUUGAGCAUAAUUUGCUUGGGAUCCGGCCAGAGCCAGUGGACUGGCCAGAGAGGGAAGAGAUUGUUAGGGUGAACAUUGAACAGAAAGCUAAUUGUGUUGGUAUUCCUCUAUCGUUGAGGAUGAUAAAGAGAAAGCAAAAAUGGAAAGAGGGUUUUGGAGAUGCAGAGGAUUUUGCAUACUGUUCGGUGAAUAAGGCAUUUUCUUCGCUAGUAUUUAUCAUUAGAGAGCUUCAGGCCUGUGCCUUGCAUAUAAGAGAGGGUCUUUAUUGUGAGGACUUGAAAGAGAUUAUAAGUAAGAUGCAAAGGGAAAUGAAUUCAUCAUUUGUUUGGCUCUUCCAGCAAGUUUUCUCACGAACACCCACUUUGAUGGUCUAUGUUAUGAUUCUUUUGGCUAAUUUUACGGUGCAUUCAAUGAGCAAUAACGUUGGGUUUGCAGCUAGUCUAUCGCCAGGAUCAUCUGAAACCAUCACAGAAACUAUUUCAUUGACGGGUGAGAAGGAUCAAGAAACAUCAGAGAUUGAUUCUUCGACAAUGAAGAAUUUACUACUCUCAAUUUCUGAUAUUGGUAACGACGGUGAUGGCAAAAAAGUGAGCCGUAUUUCCAGUGGGAAUGCGGACAAGCGCUUCAGCAGAUCAUCGCCUUCAAUUCAAUACCCUAGCUUCAUACCUUAUGAGAUGUCUGAGGUCUCCUCAGGUAAACAAUUUCCAAUGAAUAAAGAGGAAUUGGAUUUGUGGAACUCAGUAUUGGACGAAGCUUUAAGAAUUCAAGAGGAAUCAGAAUAUAGGAUUCUUGAUCAUGAAACAAUGCAGCAUUUUGUAACUCCAGUAACUGUGAAGCUUGAACCAGAUGAUUACAUGGACUAUUUUAGAACAGAUCUUCUUUACCAGAUGGGUGUUGCCGAGGAACCCAAUAAUCCACUUCUGCUCUUAAAUUAUGCCCAGUUUCUGCGUUUGGUUACUAAAGAUUAUGACAGGUAUUUUGUGGUUACUUUUUUAAUUUGUUUAUUAAAAUUGGCUCAUUCGUUUGUUAAGGCCUAUUACCUUUAGAUGUGAAGAUGAUGAUUAAAUUUUUCAGUAUCAGAAGCAAUAAUAGAAGUAGGAUUGCCUAAUUAGGUUGACAUCGUAAGUCUCUGCUGAUUAAUGUGAAUUUUAAGCACCCAAUUAGCAUACUCAUUUACAGUUUUGCAUCUUAAACAUUUUUGAAAUCAUCUGUCUACUGAUGGGAUGGGGAUGGCGGGUUAUGAUUCAGUUUUUUGCUUUGGUAUGUUGAGCUUCAUGUGGGAUUGUCUAUUCUUGUAUUCUUUGCUGUUGAUGCUCAAAACUAGCUUAUAUAUUGUGUUUGUUUUGAUAUACUGUUUGGGUUUGCAGGGCAGAAGAAUGCUUCAAGCGAGCAAUACAAUCAGAUCCACCAGAUGCUGAGGCGUUGAGUCAAUAUGCAGACUUCUUAUGGCUAGUAAGGAAGGAUCUAUGGGCAGCAGAGGAGACAUACCAGCAAGCAAUGGCAGCAGAGCCAAAUAGCUCUUCUUAUGCUUCCAAAUAUGCAAGUUUCCUCUGGAAUACCGGUGGCGAAGAGACCUGUUUUCCUCUCAGCAGCUCCCAGGACGACUAUAAUCAUAUUGUUUGAUCAAAGAGGGUUGAGAAAUAAUCGAAGCUUAGCAUAUUACCAUCAUUUUAGUAUAAAUAUUAUCAUCAAUCACCGGGAAAGUUGAGUUCUUGGUUUUUUCGUUUGGUGUAUUCAGCUUGUAAAAAACUGUUGAUGAGAUGCCAUAGUUAUUUUACAUAUGCAAACGAAUAAAUCUUGCUCCGAAAGUGAGCUUUUCUUAGAGCUCAUUCUCUUAAGUUUUGCUUGGAGGAGGCUAAUAAUGAACCCCAAAAAUUUCUGGUUUUUUUCCUGCAAUCAUGAUAAUUUUGGCAACAAAUAAUAAGAGAUCAAGGAUCCGUAUAGUUAUAAUUUUGAUAAUCAGACAACACAUUCAUGCACAUAUUCAUAGGAUCUGUAAUAAUUAAGAGAAAAUAAGUAUGGAAAUUGCAAAGCUAGGCUUAAAAACCACUUAUAAUAAAUUGAUAAGAGCUUUGACUGUAAUUCGUCGCUGUAAUUUGCUUAUUACAAUCCAACUGCUACGUUUUCAAAAAAGUAAACUGAAAUCUCGUAUUAUAAAAGAUUGGUUACAUGGUGACAUUAAUACAAGUAACGUUCCAAGAACAUGUAAAAGAAUUUGCCCCUAUCUUCAAAAUACAAAAAUUAGGUAAACAAACCAAUUUAUACAACUCUAAAGCCAGAGGGCCAAAAAAAAAAACAAAAUGACUCAACUGAUUUAAGUGGAAGUUUAGCGUUUUGUAAAAGAAAGUGAAACUACAUCAUCACCAAAACCACAUGCGGCGACUAUCAACAGCUUUCAUUGAAGUUGGUACUAAGGGCAUCCGACCAAACUCAGCUGCAAAUCUGUUUAGACACUGGGUUCUUUUUUCGGAAUGGCCUCCCAGGGUACUAAUUCCAGUUGAACCAAUCUCAUAUAUUUUACCUACACGGGCAAUGCCAAUGUUUAAAACAGACAAUACUCAUCUAAAAAAUCAUCCAAUGUGUAAAAAUAAUAACGGAAACAGGAUAUGUAUACAAGCAUUUCACAAAAAUAAUGCAGUUCAUUCUUGGGUUGCACUAAUAUCCAUCCAAAGUUGAAAAUCACCAACUAGCAUUUAAAUGCAACUCUAUUCCAAUGGAUGUAAAGAGAGAGGGUGGAUCAGAAAACCUGUGCAGAUUCAAGUAGAAGCUGCCAUAAACCGAGCAGCAUCAAAACUGUCUCAAAGGUUUGGAUGUUUCAGCUCAAGAAAGAAAAUAACGGAGGUGUUCGAUGCAUAAUAUAAGAUAUGGUUUAACAACAACAUUCAUCUAAUACUCUUUUCCACAAGCAAUUUUGUCACCUCACUCAAACCUUAGUGCCUUUUCAUGCCUCUAAGGAUUUGUUUUAUGAAUCUUUAGAAGCAAUGCAACAAUAUUCUUUUUCCCUUGACAAUGAUCUGAUUUAAUAAAGUUUUUGUCAAGCAAGUUUCUGAUCACAUUUCUCUGCAUGCAGAAAGUCAAUAGAAUCAAGUAGAAAAACACAAGGACAGAAUUCAACAAUCCAGGGAAAUAAUAAUAACAAAAAUGAGAGCACCGAUUUGAUUAGGAAAGAAUGAGAAAGAUAUUUAUAAACUAUUAUAUAAUUACCUUUCACCCAUAUGGGGGGAGCAUCAGUCACAUUGGCAACAAGAAAUGACAUCGCAAUAUCUUCGCAGUUCCUGAUGAACCAUCAAACAGCCAGUGGAGCAAUUAAACACAUAAAUGAAAGACAAAGACAUUGAAUCAAAAUGCCAAGUAAUGGAUUAAGUCAGUGGAAGAAGAACCUGUUCUCGGUAACAAAUUCUUUAAUCGAUGUUGGCAUCUCAUUUGUAUAUAGACGCAGAUACUUUUUGUGGAAAAAGGAAGCUUUCGAGAGCACCAUACUGUAUGUUCCAGUCCACCAAACAGACCACCACCCACAAUAUGAAUAAUAAUCCUUACCUUCUUUCUGCAUAGAGAUUAACAAACUCAUAAGUGAAAGCAGUUCAUGUGGUUUUCCGACCAAAACAUAGAUACUAACAAAAGCUUUUGUAUUUAGUAUAAUUUUUCCAAUCUCCGCACUCUCCUGUUAAUGUUUAAAAACUCGGUUGACCAUACAACAAUAUCCAAAGACGAUGCACAUGCAUGCACAGUGUCCUAUCAAAGAGACUUGAAAUGAAUAAUGAGAAUAUGAAGCUCAAAGGUAUCAUGAUUUACAUGCAGAGGCAUGUUGCUCACAGCACAAAGUUCUUUCAACAAUUAGGCAAAUGUUCCUUCCACACAGAGGACAAUGAACAAGAAUAUGAAGCUUACGGCCAUCACAAUUUACAUACAGAGGCAUGUUGCUCACAGUACAAAGUUUUUCCAACAAUUAGGCAAAUGUUCCUUCUACACACAGGACAAUCAACAAGAAUAUGAAGCUUACGGCCAUCACAAUUUACAUACAGAGCAUGUUGCUCACAGUACAAAGUUUUUUCAACAAUUAGGCAAAUGUUCCUUCCUUCUACAAACAGGACAAUGAACAAGAAUAUGCAGCUUAAGGCCAUCACAGUUUACAUACAGAGCCAUGUCUCUCAACCCAUAAUGCUUCUUCAAAAUUUCCAGACAUCUAAACUCACUAAUGGAUAAGCACUAAGAGAAUAUGAACAAGAGCUUAAACACUACUGGCUCCAAAUGUUAAAGAACCGUCAAAUCUUGAAAUUGCAGCAAAUGCAAAUGCAAUUAAGUUAAAACAUACCGAUUCAACGCAAACCUUUCGGGGGACAAAGCCCACCAUUUGAUCCGGUGCACUUCGCCAAACAUCAAAAGCAAACUUUACCGAAUGGCAAGGAAAUAUGAUAUCAUCAUCAAUUGAGAAAACAGCAUCCGCCUUCAAAUCCUUAAUCUCUUUAAAUCUAUUGUUCAAACUGUCCUCAGUAUUGAUAUCGAAUUUCAGUUCAACUUGUCGCCCAUUUCUAGAGUUCUUCCGUAUUAUGUGUUGCAAAAAUAUUUGAAGAGAAUCUGAAGGAGGAUCAGGCUCACUCCACACUAAGUGUAUAGAAUCAAGCCCAGGACACUUAGCAUAGUGGGCAAUAGACUGCUUUAGUAGAUCAUAUCUCUUCCAUGUGUUCAUCAAAAUAGCAUAUCCUUUCCUAUUAACAAAUACCAACUCUAACAUUAAAACAUUUCUCUAAUAUACUUCAAUACGACUAACAACUACAAAAAUCACAGUAUUAUAUAUUUAAAAAAAAAAAAUUGGGGGGGUGGGGGAAGCCCCACUAAGAGUAUGUUUACAACUGUUGUGCUUCUACCUAUCUUUGAAAACACAGACACCUCAAUUCCAGUAACCUAUAAUUCUACAAAUAAUUACAAAUUCAAAUCUUGUAUUUAGUUUAAACUCUUAAAAGGGCAGUAUUUGCAACAACUAUAUCCCAAGUCAUCAACUUUAAUUAAUUAGCAGUUAAUUAAAGUUUAUUAUGUCAAAAGGUACUAAUUAUUAACUACCUGUGGGAAACUGCAUUCUAAUAAAUUCCCCGUAUUUGAGCUCAAAUAACAAGAAAAAGUAGAAACUUUACAACGAUUUAACUGCAAAGAUAGAAACUUUCCUAAUUUGUUAACUAAAAGUCAGCACAGAGCUCCGCGUGAUGUGGGCACUAAAAAAGGAAAAGCGAACAAGAAACUGUACGAACCCUGGAGAAGAUGAGCGGUCCAGUGGACCGGAGUCGGUCCAUUCCGUUAAGGUGGAGCCGCGGCUCAGGAGUAGGAGCACCGUGAACGCGAUGCAAAAACAGAGUAAGAGCUUGAUCUUAGACGAUCCGACGGCUGAGAUCGCCAGUUGCCUGAACCUUUGUGCCGUUCGACGGUUAUUAUUAAACAGCAAGCUACCUCUCAUCACCAUCAACUCCUUCUUCUUCUUCUUCUUCCUUUUUUUUUUUUUCAAAUUUUAUUUGUUUUUAAACUCAAUCGACUCGUCGAAGCCGAGCCGAGUCCCGAAAUCCGUCACCGCAUAAAUGAUGUUACUACUUUUUCUGCAAACCUUCUCGUCGUCGUCGGGAAGGAGAGAGGGAGUAGUUACGGUGCGGUUAAGGUGCAGCGCGGUAGCCAGUGUGAAAAUUGAAGUGCGGGUACGUCCAUAAGAAAGUUGGGGAGUGGGGGCACGUGUCGUGAUGGGAUUGGUUGACUUCAGUCUAUUUCGCGGCUCUGUUUCUCAUUGUGUGUCCGUCUGCACAGGCCUUGUUUCUCGCAGAUCAGAUCUUCCGUUGAUUGGGAAAAACAACAGCGUGCGAAAGUGAAACCAAAGCAGAUAUUAGAAAAGGUCGUAUCAGCCGUCGGAUUAGGUUGAAUUUUGUGAGAUUAACGGCGGUUAGAGGAGCUGAUUUUUCCCAGUGUGGGACCCAGUUGGUAGAGAAACACGGAGGUAUUUCUUUUUGCGCGUUUUGUUGAUUCAAACAAAGGAGGAAUGUCCCUAUUGUGUGUUGGACUUUUAAAGAACAGAACCAAGUCCUGGGUUCGGUUGGAUACUCAAAUCUGCAUGGGUGUCAUCGUUUCCGGAUGCCAAGUGAUGUCUGUAUUUCGUAAUUAAUUAAUAUAUCUCGUCCUAAAUUAAUUAUAUUACGGAAUUUACAUGAUAAUUUUAUGUGGCUCCAUCUAAUUAUGAUGUUGAUUGACAUCACUUCAACCAUAUUAAGCAUUGAUUGAUUUUAAUAACGAGUGAAAAGUAAUACAUAUAUUUAAUGUAUGAUUGUGCUAAUUCAGAUAGAGUUGUAAUGAUUAUCUUAAUAAAAUGUCGUUCUAAAAGAAAAUAUUUAAAAAUAAAUAUAAUAAAUUUAGCUUAAAUAGGCUAAAUUUCACCCUGAAUUUGGAGUUUUGGACGCACCAAUGGCUAAAGUCCUGAAGGGGCUUCAAAUACAAGUGAAUAUUAGGGCCGGUCUGAGAAUUAGGCCUGGUAAACAUGAGUUCAAGACACGGGCUGACUUAGAAGUGAGCUUAGCGGCCCAUCCAAUUGAAACUAUCGAAAAUAUUCAACUUCAUAAUCGUAUUCAUUUCAUUCGUUAUUCAAUUCAACGUGCUAGAAAAAACUUUCAAUGAUUUCAAUUGGCAUGGCAACGUCAUGAGAAGAAUCAUAUAUAUAUAUAUAUGUAAAUUUGGCUGGACGGCGAAAUUUAGUAGCACCACCGCCUGUAAUUACAUCAUUGCGGCUGCAACUCUUCCCAUCCAUACACUUGGAUUUUGGAGACAUGAGUCAGUCGAAUAGGACAGCUGCCUAAUUUAAAUUACUUCCCAAAGUUUUCUGCAACCUUUUGUUAUGAAAAAGUUUGAAUUUAGUUGAUGUUUAAAUAGGUCUAAAUAUAUAUAUAUGAAUCAUAUGUUUUUUUUAAAAAAUAUAAAUAUUAAGUCAUUUAUUUUUUUAAAAAGAAAAUUUUGAAAUUAUAUAUUAUGACAUAUAUAACCUCAUAAAUAUUAACAAUAAUUAUAUUUAUUGAUCAAACACAUGACAAGUUAUAAAUAAAUUAUUUGAUUAGUAAAAAAAAAAUUGAUAAUCUUUACCUUAACAAAGAAUGAAAAAAAAAAGUCUAACACAUAUUUUUUUAUAUCAAUAUAUGAUACUCAUAAUGUUAUUUUUAGUAUAUUAUGUUGAUAUUUUUUCUUGUUAAUUACAUAAGUCAAUCAAGAAUUAUUUAAUCAUUUGAAUUAAAAUUAAUAUAUUUACCUAAAGUUCUAUUAUGUUUAAAAUUCUUAUUCACAAAAAAAUAAUAAUAAUAAUAGUUGAAUAAUACUUAUAAAACAAAAAAAAGGAUAAAUAAAAAAAUAACAGGAUAAUUUAUAUAAUAGGAAAUAAAUUUAUUUAAUAGAGGUAUUAAUGAAAAAGAAUAUUAAAGUUUAAUUCAUAUAUAAAAGUUAGAAUACUUAACUUUUUUGCUUUAUUCAAAUCUAAAUAUCUUAUAAUCAGAUAUAGGUGAUAAAAAAAAUAGAAUAAAAACUGUAAAUUUCUGAAAAUAAUUAAGAUUCAGACUUCAUAUAAAAUUUGAACAACCCUGUACGUAAGAGGCUAUUGUGUGGAAGUAAUUUUAUUCUUUAAAAAGAUACUAGAAAUCUAAAUAAGGCUAACAAAAAUUUUUAAAAAAAAUAUUAUAAUCGAAAGUUUUUACGGAUGUUAAAAUAAUUUGAGCUCGAAAACGACAUAUUAUAUGUUCAAUCAUAACGUUGGUAGUUCAAAUUGUGUAUGCGUAUAUAUGUACAUAGUAGGGUUAUUUACGUUUUUAAAUGCAGAAAAAACGAAAGAUGAAAAUUAGGUCAUCAAACAUACGUUUUAUAAGGACAGAGGAUACUGCCAGACCAGCAAAAAAGCACUGGCCUUAAUUCAAGAGGCGGUGUUGGAAGCAUAAUCAUUCUGUUUAUUUUAACACUAUGGUCUCACUAUCAUGUGAAGUUUGUGCGUUAUAUUUUAUUUGCGUUUUGGUCAUGAAUGGACCGUGGCCGUCCUUCGGACGAAUGCUAUGCACACAAAUUUUUGACUAAACAAAUGUAUAAUUUGACGUAAUUAAUAUUGAAGUUGAUAAAGAUGUAAAAUUAGAUAUAAUAUUGAAGUUUUAUGUCAACCCCAGUAGAAGAGAGAAAUUAAAAGAUAUAUAAUUUAAGUGAUUGAAUGAGAAUUCUAGUAUGUACUUUACAAUUUGUGGAUUGAUGCUUAUCAAUGAUUAAAUUAUUCAGUUUUGGCGCGAAAUAACAAUAUUUUGUAAAUCAUUGGACCUUAGCCUAGUGUUUAGAACCACUCUCUCACAAGUGUUAAGAAAGUGGUUCGAACCCCCUCACAGAAAUAUUGUGGGGGUUUUAAUUUAAAUUUCCUAUCUCGUCUCUUGAGUAAAGAUUGAAGUCUCUCAAAUAUUAGAGAUGGUUAAAAUCUAUGUUAUACUAUAUAAAAGUUGACGUAAAUUAGUUAUAGUUAUUAUGUGAUUGUAAAUACCGAUUAUAAUAUCAUAUGAGCAAUAGUUUCAUGUAAUUAAAAAAUAAUAAUAUUUUGUAUUGUUUUGCUGUAAUAAUGUUGUAUUCCUUCAAUUAGCAUUUCGCAAAGUGUAGAGGUCACCACGCAUGCAAUAGAGAAGAGCAAGACUUUAGGGUUAUUAUUUAAUUGGAUGCUUAUCUAUGUCAUUGUCAUUUUUCUACUUCUUAAUAGAGACAAGGAGCUUGAAUAUUGAGUUUGAUUUUCCUAAAAAUUAUUAAGAUGCGCACAAGCGAUUGCCUCCAAUUAUUUUUCUAAUAUAAUAAGAUGCCUUCAACCAAAAGUAAUUUGCCAGAAAGAGAUGAUGAAGAUGAGGCUAAAGCACAAAAUUAUUGUUCAUUCAGAUUAUUUAAUGUUAUCCAGACAAGUCACUGCAAUUAUUAUAACCUACGAGAACAUGUUAGUUGACACGAUCGAUAUAAUUAAAUUCCACGAAUGCCCCUUCAAUCAUCAGCUUAAUAGAAGUUUAAAAAUAAGGUAUCUACCAGCGUGAUAUUUCUGUAUGAGUAGAGAUAAUUACAUUAAUCUGGUCUCACUUAAUUCGCAUAGAGAAAAUGAAAGAUGGAGAUUAGAGAGCAACGAAUUGAAGUUAAAUAAAAAAUUAAAAAAAAAUAACUCUAUAAUUUGCCCCUGCAAGGGCUAUAAAAUUACCAAAAAAUAAAAUCAAAUCAAAUCUUCACAUUUUUAUAAUCACUUGGUCUGCUGGAGUCUUGAUGGACGGUGGCCAUUACAUCAUUCACUUAUGUGGUUGAGGUUGAGCCGACUGGUAUACCCCACGCCUAACGUCCUUUACGCCUUUCAUUAAAAAAAAAAAAAAAAGAGAUAAAUAAAUUACCAAGGCUUAUUAGUUCUUGUAAUAAAAUCGCAAAAACACUAAGAAAAUGAUUGGUUAGUUCUUGUAAUAAAAUCGCAAAAACACUAAGAAAAUGAUUGGUCGGUCACGAGAUAAACAAAUAAAUUUAAGUAAAAUUAUCACCAAAACCUCAGCUUUUGGUGAAAAUUAAAACAGCUACUAUAGAUCUUACAAACCACGACAAAGGAAAUCUAAAUUUUUUGAAAGUUUAAAUAAACAGUUUUUAAAUAGUAGUACAAUAAUGAAAAAUUUAAUCCUUAAUUAAGGUGGUUUUAAAUAAAAAAAAUAGACACUAUCAAUUUAGUUAAAUUAAUUAAGGUAGCUUCCUUAAGCAUUAUCAGUAAACAAGUAUUUAUUUAAAUUUUCCAAACAUAUUGUGUAUUACUAAAUGAGGUAUCUCUAGAAUACCUUUCAAAACAUAUAUUGUACGUCCUUGAAUUUUCACCAAAUAUUAGGUAGGUAAGUGAUAAGUUUCCUUAAACACAAUUUUAUACUCUCCACUGCCCUACCACCCACUCUGAUCACUCUUUCAUCUUGAUAAUAUUAUAUAAAGCCCCAACAUCAACGAUUACCCUCACUCCCGUAGCAAGAUCAAACAGCUACACGCAAACGACUCAAAUCUUUUUUGUCUUUUAGCUAAUUAAGUGAAGAAGAGCGAGCGAAAAUGGAGGGCAAAGAAGAGGACGUUAGAUUAGGAGCCAAUAAGUUCACUGAGAGGCAACCGAUUGGAACGGCAGCUCAGAGCCAAGAUGGAAAGGACUACGUUGAGCCGCCGCCGGCACCACUCUUCGAGGAAGAAGAGCUCACGUCUUGGUCGUUUUACAGGGCCGGUAUAGCCGAGUUCAUAGCCACUUUUCUUUUCUUGUACAUCUCCGUAUUGACAGUGAUGGGCGUCGUCAAGUCCAACACCAAGUGCUCAACCGUCGGCAUUCAAGGGAUUGCAUGGGCCUUCGGUGGCAUGAUCUUCGCGCUCGUUUACUGCACAGCUGGCAUCUCGGGUUUGUACCAGCUGCGCUUCUGGUUAAUUAAUUUUAUGAGCAAAAUAACUAAAGGGUUCGACAAAAUAAUUUUUGAUUUUUUAAACUUUUUGUUGUGACGCAGGUGGUCAUAUCAACCCGGCGGUGACAUUCGGGCUGUUCUUGGCGAGGAAGCUGUCGUUGACACGUGCACUUUUCUACAUGGUGAUGCAGUGUCUGGGAGCCAUCUGUGGUGCUGGCGUUGUAAAGGGUUUCAUGGGUGCCGGCCAAUACGGUCGGCUCGGCGGCGGUGCCAAUGCUGUAGCUCAUGGCUACACCAAGGGUGAUGGUCUUGGUGCCGAGAUUAUUGGUACUUUUGUUCUUGUCUACACAGUUUUCUCUGCCACUGACGCCAAACGUAGCGCCAGAGACUCUCAUGUUCCUGUAAGUUGAUUCUUUUUCUGGUUAAUGUAUGAUUAAUUAACCAAUAAUAAUCAUAAUUAUUACCUUUACUAAUAACUACCUUAUUGAAUAUGGUUAGAUUUUGGCUCCUUUGCCAAUUGGGUUCGCUGUGUUCUUGGUUCACUUGGCUACUAUCCCUAUUACCGGAACUGGCAUCAACCCCGCAAGGAGUCUUGGAGCUGCAAUCAUCUACAACAAGGACCACGGUUGGGAUGACCAUGUAAGUUUAAUUUACUCUCUUGAUUACCCUAAAAUAAGAUCUCGGUCAUCAAGAUUACACUUGUGGACGUAAAUUCAAUAAUGGUAAUUAAUCAGUUAAUCAUGAUCAAUCUUAUAUAUGGUUUUGAUGCAGUGGAUUUUCUGGGUGGGACCAUUCAUUGGAGCAGCACUUGCAGCUUUGUACCACCAGGUUGUGAUCAGAGCCAUUCCGUUCAAAUCAAGCUGAUGGUCUUAUGAACGGUCGUGAUUGCUGAUGCAUUUGUUUAUGGCUGUCGUUGGUGGUUCUGUUUUAUAUUUUAGAUUAUCCCAAGUCCAUGCAUUUUCGGUUCGUUAAAUUUUCUGGUUGUUUGGUUUUGUGUAUGAAUUUUCUGUAAUGCCUAUGCACAAAGAAGCCGCUGGCAGUGGCUUUAUUUAAAUUUAUGUAGUUUAUUUUUUCUUAAAAAGCAAAGUAAUUUCAUUAAACAAUAAACAGUACAAUAAUGAUACACAAUACUACAAUAGUAGAUCCACACACUCUAAAUAUAUAUAUGCGGAUAAAACUGUAUAUUACAAACAUAUAAUAUAUAUAAUUAAUAAAUGGAUCUUAUCGAAUUUUUUGAAUACUAGCCAACCAAAAAGAAUUUGCCUUAGUUGAAGAGGCGUUGUUAGAAGCAUAAUCAUUAUGUAUUAUGGAACACCAUAUAUAUGCUCGCUAUCGUAUGAAGUUUGCGUGCUGGUAUUUUUUUGCGUUUUGGUUAUAAAUGAAUGUCGUUUGGAGAAUUGUUAUAUAUGUACAUAAAAUUUCAAAUUAAAAAAAAAAAUGGUUAUGAUGCUAUGAUGUAAUAUUGAAGUUUAUGGUCAAUCCAAAAGAAAAUGACUUACAAAGGAAAUGGAAUAGAUUUAAUUUAAUUAACAUUGUCGAUUAUACGACAAUUUUAAAUGGCGGAGGAUUUACUACGUAAAUUUGGAUUCAGUAUUAAGCUGACUUUUUUAAUAAUUUUUUUUAAAGAUACAAUUAAUAGUUAUUAUAUAAGAAAACAAAACUAAUCAACUUUUAAUCGUGUAUAGCUAAACAUGCACGGAUGUUUUGCUCUGUUUUGUUGCAAUGUAAUAUUACUUCUUUGUAUGGUUAAAACCAACAUUGCAUAACUAAAGAAGGGUAAAAGCUCGUUUAGUCUCUAUAUUUUGAAGUUAGUGCCCGUUUAGUCCCUAUAUUUUUAAAAAUACCUUAAACCAUCCCUACCAUUAAAUUAUUGACACUUUUGCCAUUAUCUUUUGUUCCUUUUAACUUAUUUUUAUAAUAUUGCUCUAUUAUAAUAAUUUUUUAGACAUUAUUAAAAAGAAAAAAAUAACCCUAUUAUAAUAAUUUUUUAGACAUUAUUAAAAAGGAAAAAAUAAAUUACCAGUUUAACACCAAAAAAUAAAAUAAAAUAAAAUAAUAUAUAUUAAUUUUUGUGGAACACACUCUUGAGUUAAAAUAUUAAUUUUUCUAAAAAAAUUGAUAAUGUAAUUUUUUACGAUAUUAAUUUUUUAGACAUACGUGAGUUUCCACAAAAAUUAAUAUAUACCUUUUUUGUUUUUAUUUUAUUUUUGAGUUUAAUUUGAUAAUUUAAUUUUUUAUUAAUAUCCAAAAAAGAAACAUUAUUGUAAAAAUGUAAUAUUGUAAAAGCAAGUUAAAAAUAAUAAAAAAUAAUCGCAUAAGUGUCAAUAUUUAGUAACAGGGACGUUUUGAGGUGUUUUUAAAAAUAUAGGGACUAAAUGAACACUAACCUCAUAAUAUAAGGACUAAAUUACAAGCUUUUACCCACUAAAGAAUUAUACAUUGUUUGCUUUUACUUUUUUUUUUUAAUGAAGGAUAGACAUUUGUACAACUAUACGAGAGAAUCACUAGUUUAUUAUAUAAAAAAUAUAUAUGCAAAUAAUGAAACCAAACUUCAAGAGUUUUAUGUGAUGACAUCCCAAAAUGUUAUCCCAAAUUAUAUGGCACGUGAUGUAUCAUUUAUUAAGUGGUUGAUGAUCUUUAAUAAAUUCUAAAUGAAUUAAUUAAAUUAUCUUACCAAUAAGUGAAUAAAUCCACAUCAUUUAGGAUGAAAUUUACUAUUGACUAAUUAAAUUUUUUUACUAUUAAAAAAAUAAUCUAUAGUAUUUCAUUCUUUAAAUGGAUAAGAAUUAAAAGAAUAGAAAUUAUGAGAGUAGAAAAUUAGAUUUAUAGUAUCAAGUAUGUUAAUAACUCUUUAGUUGAGUUGGUUCAUGCCAACUCUUAUUAUCUGAAAGGUCGAGGUUUUGAGUGUUUUAUAUUUAUGAGAGUAAAAUUUAACAUAAAAAAUAGUGUCAAUAUAACCUGCUCCGUUUGGAGGCAAUUUCAUAGAUAGGCUACUUUAUAAAUUUCUCAAUUUUAUAAUUUACUUAAAUAAAAAAGUAAUGUCAUUUUAGUGCAUUUUUAAUUUUUUUUUAACUCAUAUGAUGGUGCAUUUUUUAAUUCAAUAAAAAGGUACAGUCACUUCUUUGUUGUCUAUAGUUUUCAUGUUUAUGUAAUAAAAUUAUGGGUUCAUGUUGUUUCAUAUAUUUAUGUGACGUGACUCGUAUCGUUUUCUAUAUAGGGGCAUGCAGCUUGAAUAUUAUUGAGCUUAAAUUCGCUCAAAUAUUAAGGUCCAUAAAACAUUCCCUCCAAAUAGAUUACAAAUAUAAUUAAAAAGAUGCAUUUAACCUUUCUUUGCCAGAAAGAAAUGACGAAGCUAAUUAAAGCACAAACCCAACUAUUGAUUGCAAAUAUCAUGAAGAUUAUUCAAUAUCAUCCAGACAAAUCACUACAACAAUAACACGCUAUAAGAAACAUGUUAGUUGACAUGAUUGGCAUAAUUAAUUUCCAUGAAUUCGCCAUUAACUACCGUCCUGUGUAAUAUAUAAAAAUACCUGCCAGCAUAAAAUUUCUCUAUGAUUUUGUACUUAUUAAGAGAUAAUCAUUCGCUACAGCUGCCUAAUGCAGGAAGGAUUAUGAUCCUCUCUUAAUAUGAUAUUUUCAUAAAUAAAUUUUAUUAAUGUCGUUGGUGGUUAAUAAAUAAAAAAGUAAAGAUAAUUAAAUCAUAAUUAUAUAUUAGCACCAAAAUACAAGUUGUAUAAAAUCUAUAAAAUAUUAGAAAAACUCAUAUCAUGAGAGGAUUCUAGUCCAUGUAGGAAUAACAUCAAUUAGAAAAAUUAUAAUUCAAAUUAUGUGCAUAAACGCCACCCAAAAAAAAAGAAUACUAUUUUUUACUGUAGUAAUUGAUCUAAAUUCAUUUUUAAGUCGCUUCCAACUCCUGAACUUUUUUUUCGUAAGUAAUACUCAAAAAUUAAGUUAAUUGUUGUAUCAAUUUAUUUUUAUAACCUAGUGUAUUUUCAGGAAGAGUAAAAUUAUUGAUUACGACGAUGCUAUCUUUAUAACAUAAAUAGGUUUCUAAAUUCUAAUGUAGACGUUCAUGCGUUAAAAAUAUAAAUACAAAGCAACACAUUGUUCUGUUCCUAAACAUUAUCCGAGGGAGAGCUAGUUAUGCAAGUUGUAAAAAAAAAAAAAAUGUACUUAAGUAUAUUUUAUAGUCUUCUGAGUUCAACUGUUAAAAAAUUGCCUAUAUGUCUUAGGGUUUAUUUGUGAUUGAAAUUUAAAAUCUACGGCACUAAAGUAUAUGGUAAACACUAGUUACUGUAACUUGAAAGUUAUGUUGAUAUGAAUUUUCAAUUGUAUGAUGGAAGAUCUAUUAUAUCUUUAAUAAUUUUGUUAAAAUUAUUAUUUAAAAUUUAUAUUUACUAUAUAUUAUCAAUUUUUGUUUCAUAAUUACAAUUUUUUCCAUAGCAGCUGUAACUUAAAAGUUACAGCACCUUAAUCCCAAAAAGAACUUUAUUGACGACUUCUCGACGUUAAAUCAUAACUUCGAUCAACUAGGGCUGUAAUUUUUUUUAAUAAUGUUACAGUCCCCUAAUAUUUAGAAUAAAGGGUCUACUAGAACUUUCUAAUCAAUUUUGUGACUGUGCAGUCAGAUUGGCUCUAAAUAACAUAAAUUAAUAUUAUAUAGUAAAUAUGAAAUAAAAAUUAAUAGUACAUAGUAAACACAAUUUUUAAACAAUAAUUUUGUUAAAAUUAAUAAAAAUAUAAUAGAUUUUUUAUCAUAUAAGUAUAAACUCAAAUCAACUUAACUUGCAAGUUACAAUAAUUAAUAUAUAAAAAAUAUUUUAGUACUAUAACUUUGAAAUUAUAAUUGUCUAAUUUCAAUUCCAACCGAGCUAGGGGUGGCAAAAAUACCCGCCUGGUCCAGACCCGUACCGCACCCGGGCGUUGUGGGCAUGGUAUUACCCAGCUUGAGUAUGAAGCCAGACCGAUCUUGAGCAUCACUUGAUAAAUUCGGAGCUCGGCUCGGAACCCAAAUUUUAUUAAAAAAAUAUUAUAAAAUAUAUACUAUUUUAAAUAUUUAUAUUUAUUUGACUCAUUUAUUACACAUAUAUAAAAUUUUAAACACUUAAAGUUUAUAUUUUUAUAUCAAAUUUUAUUGAAAUAAAUUUAAAACUUAUAAAAUUACCAAAAAAAAUAUACACAUAUAAUAUUAAAAAAUAUAAAAUUUAGGUACUCGCAUUAAAACUUGAUCCGAACAUCUAAAAAUUACAUCCAAACUAAGUCUGGACAUUGCGAUACCCGAACCCAACCCAGGAUUUUGCCAACCCUAAACCGAGCCUUCGACUUCUAAAUAAAUAUUUUGAAACAACGACGGAUAAAAUAAAUAAAGCCAUUCAAAUAGGAACGGACUAAUUCAUGGAGGCAUCAAUUCGUAAAGUUACAGUCGUGCCAGUGAACCAAUUCCUUAGAGCGAAAUGGACACACGGAAAGGACAAUAGGCCAGAGCAACCGACAUAAUUCACAUUAAGAAAAUGACAAUAAAGCUGAUUGAUAAUGAGAAAGACUUUGAGAGUGUAAAACGAAAUUAAAAUUAAAUAACCUACUUGCUUUGGUUUCUGUAAUUUGCCCUAAAAAGAGCAAUGAAAUUACGUAAUAAAUCCCGUGAUCAUCAUGUCCCAAUUCCCACCCACUCGGUCUGCUUGACCCUUGAUGGACGGUGGCCACAACAUCAUUACAGAUGUGGAUGAAAUUGAGCCAGCUAGGAUACCCCAACGUAAUGUCAUUUUUCUUUCUAAAUAGUCUAAGCGCAUUUAAGUAAUUUCCACAAAAUUCCAAGAAAAUGAUUGGUCGGUCACAAGAUAAGUAAGUAAAUUCAAUUUUAUACACCAAAUUGGAGCCCACCACCUGCACUCAUCACUCCCUGAUCCGGAUGAUAUAACCCCCUUCCCCCAACUUCUAGUACUCUCUCACUCAUUCUCAUCACAACAUCAAACGGCCACAAACAAAAAAGCAAGUGCUUCUUAUUGACUGUUUUGUGUUUUUGAGGGACUAGCAGAAAUGGAAGGUAAAGAAGAGGAUGUUAGACUGGGAGCCAACAAGUUCGCCGAGAGGCAGCCGAUUGGGACGGCGGCUCAGACCCAAGAUGGGAAGGACUACGUUGAGCCCCCACCGGCGCCGCUCUUUGAGCCCGGCGAGCUCAAGUCUUGGUCGUUUUACAGGGCCGGUAUAGCCGAGUUCAUAGCCACUUUUCUUUUCUUGUACAUCUCCGUACUGACAGUGAUGGGCGUCGUCAAGUCCAAUACCAAGUGCUCAACCGUCGGCAUUCAAGGGAUUGCAUGGGCCUUCGGUGGCAUGAUCUUCGUGCUCGUUUACUGCACAGCUGGCAUCUCGGGUUCGUACCGGCUGCGCCUCUGCUUGGUUAAUUUUAUAAGCAAAAUAUCUAAAGUGUUUUUAAAACUGUUUGUUUUGACGCAGGUGGUCAUAUCAACCCGGCGGUGACACUCGGCCUGUUCUUGGCGAGGAAGCUGUCGCUGACACGUGCACUUUUCUACAUGGUGAUGCAGUGUCUGGGAGCCAUCUGCGGUGCUGGCGUUGUAAAGGGUUUCAUGGGUGCCGGCCAAUAC